GUGGCUGGCCCUCCUGCAUUAUGUGACAAUAAAUGAUAAAACAAGUAAUUAAUUGACACACUUUAAUCUAAAAUGAAAUCACAUAAGGUGGGACAACAAUUUAAAUACAAAAUAUAUAAAACAAUUUCUAAAAGCGAUAAUAUCUAUAAUAAUUGAUACGGGAGAGUGAAUUUAAUUUUCUUAAAUAAACUUAGAAAAGAAUAUAAAUGUUUUUAAUAGAUAUUUUGGCUACUUUGAAAAACUUUUUGACGCUGUGUUUCUAAUCCUAAAAAAUAUAAAGUAAAAACUAAAAAGGGAAAAAACUUCCAGAAGUUUGAAAUCAGACACGUUGGGACAAAUCACCAUACCAAAUAAUGAAAUAAUGUUUCUUCUCAUAUUAUUUUAUUUUAUUUUUGCCAUAAUUCUCAGAAAACAAUGUAAAAAAUAAUGAAGGCAAUUGGAUCACAGAGAUGGGAAUGCAUUCCCGAGGACCCAAUAUCUUACACGUCUCCCUAAGCAUAUAACUUGUUGACAAGCUACUUAGAGACAAAAGUGGCCUCCAUCAAUUUUGACAAACACAUGGGAUACGAUAAUUAACAAAUGUUGCUUCAAAUCAAAUAAAACAAUCUAGCUUUUAUUAUUGCCCAAAGUCCGAAUUAAUGAGAAUCGUGUUUUGUUUAGAUACAAAUGCUAAAGAAUUUGUUCACUGUGUAUAUACUUUUCUUUAGCUUGGACAUUUCAUUUGUUGGUUUAAAGAACCUAAUCAUUUCACCUUUGGUUGAUGCAAUUGUAUCAACAAACUUUUGGUUUAAUGAGAAAACACUUUUUCUCACGAUGUGUAGAUUGUGUAUGAGAGUAAGUGUACGAACUCCCAUAAAAUAAUCAUAGGAUUUAAUUUUUUUAUUUAAUUAUGAAAUAAUUAAGUAGAGAAAUCUUCUCUAUUACGAAAUGUGAAUGGAGUAAUAAGAUAUGAUUUACUUUUUUUUUUUUACAACCUCCAACAUUAAUAAAAAGUAGGAGGGAACAUGUCUUUCUCAAAUAAUUUACCUUAAAUUGCUUUUUCUUUUGUUCUUUUGAUAGAAAUUAAGGAGCAAAUAACACUCGAAUGGAGAUCAAUAAUUACGACCUUGCUAAAUUACAUAUAAUUAUAAGCUUCAACAAUUCAAAAAUUAUAUCUAAUAAUUCAUAAAUAUUUGACAGCUAAAAUACACUUGACUUGAUUGUUGCAAUGCUUAGGUUAUUGAAAGUUAUAAUAUUUUGUAACUUAGUUAUACCCUUAUAUGUUUAAUUUGUUGCUUUGGAAACAAUUUACGUUAGAGCAUGUCGAUGAUAAAGGCACAAAAUUUGUCAAUAUUGCCACCUCACCAUAUAGCUUUAAAUAUAGGGGAAGAUUAUAGUACCCAUCUAAACCACCAUCUCCGACACAUCAUCUGACGAUGCUCAAGUUAUCGGGUGUGUAUGGUUCUCCUAAUGUACAAAUUUAUAAUUUAUAGUCAACUUCUACUCUUUAUUAUGUAUAUAAAAACGCGUUGAAAUAUCUAUGCACUCAACUACGUAAUUUUAGCAGCUUUAUAUAUAUAUAUAUAUAAUUUUUUAAAUUUAGACCCUUAUCGACAUUUUUAUGAUAUAAUUAUUUUUUUUUUUCAAGUAAUUUCUAAUUCAUCUAUAUUUUUUUCGCUGGAGAAACAUUUUACACAAAAAUUGAAAAAUACAGAGUUUUCUUUUCAGAUUCCAAAGUCCCACCUCGAUGAGUUGUGCAGUGUCACUGUCACUGUCACUGUUACAGUGAGAUGAUAGAAAACUGUCAUUCUGAGUAUUGUAAAUAUUCUUGAAAGGUGCGGGGCAAAGAAGUAAUAUCAACUUCCAACCAAUUUUACUUUGUUAUUGGACGGACAUUGGUUCGUAACUUCAGAGAUUAUGUUACCUAAAAUUAAAGCUUCCUUUUAUUCCACUCGUUCAGACAAUUGCCGGACGCCAGCUGCAAUAACAUCUUUUUUCCAAAAUAAAAUUCCAAAUCUACCCUCCGUAAUCUAACGCUCAAAAAUGUCAAGCUGCGAGUUCCAACGGCCAGGAUAUACUCAGCGAUUCGGAAUUGAGAUUUGGACCAAAAAAAAAAAAAAAGCAUUUGUGUCUAGUAAAAUAUAAACAAUUAAGAACUGUACAUGGGAGUAACAAUUCGAAUCCCUUUUCAGCAUUUAGUAGCUUUUUAGAAUAUGUAAAUAAUUUUUUUUAAAAAAAUCAUAAAUCCAAAACAAAUAGCAUUUCGAUUUUCUAUAAAUUGAUAACAAUACACACUUCGUUAGACCAUUAUAAUCUACUGAAGAUUAACGAAGAGACCGACGCAUUAAGUGAAAUUUAGAUCCAACGGUUAUCCAAAAGUUUGUAAUAAACUUUUUUACGAGAUUGUAAACUGCAAGUGGUAGUAAACAUAAAUCGUCAUAAACAUGCAGCGUAGCAUAAAAUCUAUUGCAAGAUCAUCAGCCUCUGUUUUAACAAAUUGUCAGAGUUAAUCAACUGUUUUUAAACAGUGGCAAAAAUAUCUGAUUGCCCCGUGGCUGCAAUUAACUGUUAAAAGGGGAAUAUAGUCUGCCCGAAAAAUAUCUGACAGCUGCCCUGAAACACAGGGUAACUGCCCUUUGACUGACACGGUCAGGUUUCUCGCUCUUCGGGCAGCUUGAAACUCCUAUACACGGAGACUCUAUUACCACAAUCAAGUCAAUUGUCUUAAUUAAAACGCCAAGAACGAAACUACUUAAAUGUGUGACCAUUUCUGUUUAAGUAGCCGAAAAAAGUAACCAUUUUUGCUUGCAGACGGAGAGAGUUCUCACCAGCACCACCUCUGGUUUAUGGUGGCGCUUCACCAAGAACCUAUGGUGAAGUGCGCACCCCUCUGAAUAAAAAAAAAAGAGAAAGAGAGAGAGAGAGAGAGAGAGAGAGAGAGUGAUGGGCCAGGGACUGAGUUGUGGAGCGAGUUAUGAGCAUGCUUUGUUCACCGCUGUGCAGCAUGGUGAUAUUGAGUUUGUUAAUGAUUUGUUAGAGAAAGAUUCAAGUCUCUUACAUCAAACCACUGUUUAUGAUCGCCACUCUGCUCUUCAUAUUUCUGCUGCUAAUGGCCAGAUCGAGGUUGCUAGCUGCUUUGCCUCUUUUGAUGUCAUUUCUUUGAUUUUUGUGUCUUUUUGGUGAAUGGGUUGUUAUUAUCUUUGCAGAUUUUGGAGAUUUUGCUGAACCGAUCUGUGAAUCCUGAUGCGGUGAAUCGUUACAAGCAGGUGAGUGAACGGUCACCAACCGACCAUUUUAACUUGAUGUUUAAGAGUGAAUGAAUGUGAAAGUUCUGGUUUUUUUUUUCGUUUUGAUCUUUUCUAAUUGGUGAUUUGAUUUUGAUGACUGUGAAUGGUUUAGACUCCGCUUAUGCUGGCUGCAAUGCAUGGGAAGAUCUAUUGCGUUAAAAGGUUGCUUGAAGCUGGAGCUAAUGUAUGUCAAAUCAAGUUCUCAAUUUUUUUUUUCUGUUUCCUUUAUGAUUUGUUGUUCUUGAAUUGGACAAUUUUAUGGCUAAUUUGGCAAAACUUUUGGCAGAUACUGAUGUUUGAUUCUCUCUAUGGAAGAACUUGCUUGCAUUAUGCUGCUUACUACGGCCAUGCCGAUUGCGUUCAAGCCAUUCUCUCUGCUGCUCAGUCUAGUCCUAUUGCCGUUUCUUGGUAGGAUAACAAUCGAUAUAUUUAAUAGAUUUGUACAUAAGUUUGGCUUAUUAAUGGCUGAUAAUAUUGAUGAGUUUGGGAUUGGGUUUCAGGGGAUAUGCGAGGUUUGUGAACAUUAGAGAUGGAAGGGGAGCGACGCCAUUACACUUGGCUGCGCGUCAAAGACGGCCCGAAUGUGUACAUAUUUUGCUAGAUAGUGGUGCUCUUGUUUGUGCUUCAACCGGUGGAUAUGGGUAAUGAUUGUUGUGAACUCUUUUGUUUUUGUUGAUUUUUGGUGUUAAAUUUGUUUGUAGAUUGAUAGAUUGUUGAUUACAGUUGCCCAGGAAGCACUCCUCUUCACUUGGCAGCUAGAGGGGGAUCUAUUGAUUGCAUCCGCGAGCUGCUGGCAUGGGGUGCAGAUCGCCUUCAUAGAGAUGUAUCUGGGUAAGAUUUAAUUUCUUUUUUGGUUGAUCACAUCCAUUGAUUUUCGUUAUAAUAAUUUGCGAAGUCAGUGUUGUAAUUGUUUCUUCGUUGAUGUCUCACAUUAAUAGCUUCAAAACAAGUGCAAAAGGGCACAUUUGGAUGUCUGGUGAAGUUGCAAAAUUUUUGGUGUUGUUUCCUAGUAUUUUAUUGUAAAACAAAACUAUUGAAUUUGAUUGAAGCCAUCAAAUAACCCAAAAGUUUUAGAACAGAAGCACUUGUAGGAACUCAUUUACAAGUUGAUCAUUUAUCGUCAUUCGUAUCUUUGUGAUGCGUCACGUGCAGCCUGUUCCAUGCAAUCAAUUUUUUUCAAAAAGCAGAUGCAAGUUGUCUUUUCUCUUGAUUUAAUUUUCCAAAGAUUUGCAGCUAAUGGUUUUGCUAUGAAAUGGUGAUAUCUAUGUAGGAGGAUUCCGUAUGCAGUUGCGUUGAAGCACAAACAUGGAGCUUGUGCAGCCUUGUUAAAUCCUGCAUCUGCAGAGCCUCUUGUCUGGCCAUCACCUCUAAAGUUCAUCAGUGAGCUUAAUCAGGAGGCAAAAGCUCUCUUAGAAAAUGCCCUGAUGGAGGCAAACAAGGAGAGAGAGAAGAACAUUUUAAAGGGUACUGCAUACUCACUUCCAUCUCCAUCGCAUUCUGAUGUCGGAGCAGAUGACAAUAUUUCUGAGGUAUAUGAAUUUCUUAAUUAUAUUAAAUAUCAAUCAAAAUUUAAACAAAGAGCAAAACUUUUGAAUUACCUGGAAGUGCUGGAAAUUUUGAAUAUGAAAUUGGUGAAUUUGGUUGAAUUAUUCAAACCAUAUGGAAUGUCUCAGUUUUUGAACUGUAAAAGACUUGCUCUGCUGUUUUCAACUCAAUUGUUUUCAACUGCAUGGAAAUGACAGACUUAGAAAUUCAAUUCCGUACCUUGACUUGCUACAUGGACCACAAGUCUUUUUGCUGAAAGUGUCAAUAAAUAAACACUUGUACAAUUGCGAGUGACCUGAUACUGUACUGCACUCUGACCAAUUGACGAACUGAAAACCUACUUGCUAGCUGAUUUGUUUUUGACACAGGUCACAGAUUUCCUAGAGGUAGAAUUUUCACGUUCCUUGUGCAUAUCAUAGUUCUGUUGCUGAAUCAACUCAGAAAUUGUGAGAACUUGUGUAUAGACUUCUGUAUUUGGCAAAUUCACUAUAGUACUUUUUAGGCCUUGUCCUGAUUAUUCAGUGAUUAGUUCUAUAUUGAUAAGCCAUAUUACUUAAAACUAUUUAUUUGAACAUUUUUUUAUUUUGGAAACAAUGAGAUUGAUCUGUUCUCACUCAAUGCAGGCUAGUGAUACCGAGUUAUGCUGCAUAUGCUUUGAGCAGGUAUGUACAAUUGAAGUCCAAGAUUGUGGCCAUCAGAUGUGUGCACAAUGCACACUAGCCCUAUGCUGCCACAACAAGCCAAACCCUACAACUGCAUGCCUAACACCUCCGGUGUGUCCAUUUUGCCGAAGCACCAUUGCCCAUCUAGUUGUUGUGAAAAUCGAGAACCAGGAAGAUGCUGACCGUGACAUUGGUGACAUAAGUUCGCCAAAGUUGAGAAAGGCGAGGAAGUCACGCAACUUCAGCGAGGGAAGCAGCAGCUUCAAAGGAUUAUCCACAUCAUUUAGCAAGAUGGGUGGCCGCGGCUCAGGCAGGAUUGCUGCCGAAAAUGAGUGGAUUGAUAAGCGUUGAUACUUGGUAGCAUUUGGUAAUCAAAGAUUCCAUUUGGUCAUUAAGAAUCCCCUUAUGUGAAUUCAGAAGAAGGGAUAACAAAGUCAAGAGUCUCCCUUCUGGAGCUGGUCCCAGUGGGUAAAUAUAGACAUAUGGUCCAUUUGCGGUGUAGAUUUGGGAAAUAAGCAAAGGAAGUGAAUUGCUGCAGGUUUGGUUGGUAAGUUUGGUAUAAUGGUUGCUUGGGGUCUCGUAUUGUUGUAAUCUUUAUUUAUCUUGAGAUUGAAGGAGCCUUUUGGUCAUUGUAAGAGUCUGUUAGAUACUUGUAUUAGUGAAAAGAAAAAAGGGAAAAUUCUUAUCUCCUUCAAAUUUUUUCAAUGGCUGCCUCUUUGAAGUCCCGGAUAUGAACAGGGGUUUUAGUUAAUUAGUUAUUUAGUUUUGGCCCUACCAGGCAUGAUCUUUUUUCUAUGAUAUUUUUUUUUUUAAUCAAUUAUUUAUUCGUAUGGAUUUUUAUAAUAAGGUACAGAUAAAAAAUAGAGGCCUGUACGGUUGUUGGCCCUCAUGUGAUCAUGUCUCCAAUUGAGUGAUAAUAUAAAAUUUUCAGUACAAGUCAGGGUGGGGCAUCUCAGUGGGCCCAGAUAAGCAUGAUCUGACAAGAUGCUGACACGUGGUAUGGAUGCCGGACUUGCGUGUUGUGAAAAAGCCUUGGAAAGCGUAGGCACACCGAACUUACGUGGGGCAUAGAGGCCUUUUGAUUUUUUCUUACGGGCCCUGCUGUUAAAAAAAAAAAGAAAGCCUUUUAUUUUGUUUAUGAUAAAAAUGCAAUUACUCUGGAAAGAAAAAGAUAAAAGCAAAUAUCUGUAAUUAUGAAUUUCCCUUAUUUUUUCAGAAAAUAAUGAUGUAAAUUUUUUAAUUGAUUACAAUCUAUAUAGAUUACAACAUGAAGUCUACGAAAAAUUUAAGUAUAUAAACUUGCAGUAUAAUUCGAAGAACUAUAGAAACUAACUUAAAUAUUUAUUUCCAUAAACAUUUAAUAAGAUGUCUACUCUGAUUCACUCUAUAUGUAUACAUAUGCCCUUUGCUCAAACUUGGAAAUGAAGAAGAUUUGUUUGUUUCUAUUUUUUGUUUGUUUACUGUAAGAGCACUUUAGAUGAUGAUGGUGCAUGCGGUAUUGCUGAUGGGGCCAACUAAAAAGAUCUUUUGGUCUUUUCUAUCAACCCCACUUCCCAGAUCGCUGAUGUAGACAUUUUAUUGAAUUCGUUUGAUCUGGGCCCCAUGAAUUGUGACGUGGGUCCAGCAAAGGUCAGAAAAUCGACGGUGUAAAUUUCAGAAAUGUGGAUUGGCUGAUUGGAGUCAGUCAGAAGAAGGAUGGGUUUAUUGGGUUAGGAAUCGUCUUCACUUGUUUCGUUUCAUUGUGAAUUUUUCUUUACUUCUUACAAUUCAAAGUAAACAAUGAACAAAUUGUGAUUUUGUUGACUUAAAACAUUAUUAAAUUUGAGUGCAUAACUGUUUGAAAAGCUCAGUUCAUAAUCCCAAAAUAUUUUAUGAUAAAAGCACGACUCAUGAGUUAAUCGGGUCUCAUUAAUUCACCUUAAAAUCAACAUAAUGGAGCUUGACCAAUUCCUUCCUAUUAAAAUACGUCCUUGGGGAAAAUAUCUCGAGAGAGUCAUUUUCAUGUAACCUUCAUUAAAAUCUUUUAACAGUUCUGCUAAUGUGAAUCCAAUGAAAACGGUUGUUGCAAAUUCACAUGAAUCUGCGAGAACAAGUGAGUACGCGUCAUGCAGAAAAACCAAACAUUAGCCGCCGAUCACAAGCUGACGAAACUUUUUCAGUAGGUUUGAAUCACGAGUUUACAAUAUCAUUAUAUUAAGUCUAUAAUUUUAUUAAAAAAAAAAAAAAAGAAGCCACUACACAAGCACCGAUCAAAUUUUGAUCAACUCAUUGUUAUAUCUAAUCCUUGUCGUGUGUAUGGGCAAAUAUUAUUUUCUUCAUGGAGUUUGUUAAACUCUUUGAGCUUUUCAAUGUAUUUUCUCCCUUAAUCCGCGAGGAAAUUUUGAUUAUUUAAGCUGCAUUCAAAGAAAAUCUUAAACAGUGCCACCACUAAACACUUCAGCACAGAAGGACUUAUAAUUAAUGACUAUUGUUAAUUUAGUGAUAGGGAUAUAGAUAUAGGAGUUAUUAUUAAUAAGAGAUUUAUUUGCCCUACUAAAGAUUAGUUCAUCUUAUCUUAGAAAUUAAGUUCACUUUAUCCACCACUUAUACAAUGAAAAAUUACUAAUAUCUUUAUUGUUUUAUUCAAAUUAUUAUUUAAAAAUCAUAUUUACUACACCGUAUGAACUUUCAUUUUACAAUUAUAAUUUUUUUCUACAGUAGCUAUAACUGCAAUACCUCAUCAAUACUAUACAAGCCAUAUACUGUGACUAGGUAUGUUGUUUUUUUUUCACUUUAUUUGGCCAAAUUCUAUCAUUCAAGCCUUGUAAAAUUAAUUGAAAAUUAGAUAUCCAGUAAUAUGACCCCAAGGGGCCAAGCUUUGAUUUGUUGCUCCUAGUAACUGUCAUGUUCGUUGGAGAUGCACAGACACACUGAGAUGCGCAUACAUAUGACAUACACAUAUAAAAUAUACAACACAGCAAAUUGAAGGGAGAAGAUUGAAUGGAAAGAACACUUAUGUGCUUAAGAUUCAAAAAAUCCACUGGUCUAAUAAAUAGAAGUUUAUUUCUUCCUGGAACAUCAUAUUCAAUCAAAACUAUGAGACCAAAAAAAUAAAUCUGAGCAAACUUAAUGGGAGGAUUGUCCACACAUGCAUGAAAACAAUGCUGGAAUUCCACAUCCAUUACCAGUUUCGGGUUCCAAUCCUCCAUUGUCUCUCCUCUCGGCAUCAGAAAAUCGCCACGGACUUGCCCGUGGGGGAGCAAUGCGACCAUUAAUGAAAAGCGAGUUUGAUUCGAAGCUUGGUUGAGCCAUGGCCAUUUGAUCAUCAGGUCCAUAAAGGUUAGGACUCUGGCUCCUUCCACAUCCGUUGUUAGCAGCUCUUCUUUCCACAGCAAGAAAGUGACCAAGUGAUGGAGGAUUGUUUCUAUUAACAUUCGCAGCAUCAGUAGUGUCCCUUGGGCAUAAAGAAAAUAGCCAAGAUCUUGAUUUGUUGCCACUCUUUUUCUCCUUCACCGCCACUGCUUCUGCUUUUCUUCCUCUUAAUGAUCUUUUUGAAAGCUCCAAGAUGCUUGAAACACCUAUUAGGCUUCCAAGUGUAAUGCUCUUGUCAUGAAAGAAAGACCCUGUAGACUGAAAUCAAUUACAAUACUAGUGUUCAGGCCAUCGAAUUAUCUAUCCACUGUUUCACAGCAGGUAGUGUCGUACAUUCACAUCAAAAAUCACAAUAACAGGAAGGGAAAAAUCAUUUAAGUCACAGUAGCUCACUUCACACCAAUUUCAAAGAAAUCUUUUGUAACCCAAGGAGAUGUCAGAUUGUUGUGAGAAUUAUGAUUCCAAUUGGUGAUCUGAAUUUCAGAAAUUUCUGUAUCACGUUAUUUUGUUCAAUUGGAUUUACAUUUCGGAGAAACUGCAUAUGCAGCAUUCAAUGAAAUACAACUGCUUUCUUUACUGAAUUUAUGAACUGUCACACUCCAAUUACAAGGUUAAUUACCACAUUGUAGCUUCAUGUCUGGUGAUCCCGGUGUAUACUACAUAAUCUGUGGAAUUUUUGCUGGUGAAUCUUUAUUUUUACAUGAAUACUUGAAGAAUACACAUGGCAAGAAUCCGGCAAACAAGAGUGAACACCGGAAGCACACAAGACUUUUCAGGAAACAAAUACUACAACCUUAAUAGUUUAAAUACCUAUCGAUAUCAAGACAAUAAAAAAUGAGUUAGGUGAAAACAAUCUCUAACUGCGGAUUCCAGACCAACAGCAACGAGAUUUUGGACAAAAAAAAUUUGAACUCUGAAAUCUUUUAAUCAAGUUAUCUCCUUCUAACAGACACUGGACCCUAAUUUCUUCUGGCAUCUUCAAUUAAAAUAAUCAUGAUACCGAGCAAAAAUUAAGAACUACUACCUAAAUAUUGAAUUAUGAAUGAGAGGCACGAAAUUACAUUACAUUACCCUUAAAAGAAGCACCCAAAGGGUUAAAUUGAGCAGUAAAAGAAAAUGAGACUAAUGACUGGUUAAUUUAGCAGAAAGUAAGUACAGUGAUAAUGAAUCAAAUGGCUUCCGUUUUUUGAACUGACCUCUGUGUCUAAAUCUGAAGAGGAAUCAGUGGAGGAAGUUGGGGAACCAGUGAGCAACGUGUUGAAUGAAACUGAUCCCAAAUUAUUAUCACCGCCAUUGUUUCUAACCAACCCAACUCUCGCAUUCAGAGGCUGCAAACCCAACGGCCAGCCCUCUUCCUACAAUCAAAUCAACCCCCAAACGUGAUUCAGUAAAAAAAAGAAUUGUACUGCCAGCAAAACCAAAAACAAAAUGACAAAAUCCAGAAGAACCCCAGGUGAAAAAAAUCCAAAAUUAAAGUGAAAGAGAAGACAAACGAAUACCUGUCGAGCCAUAUCAGCUGCUGCCAAGUACUAGCUGGUAUGGAUAUGGUUGUCUUGAUUGAUUGAUCUUUUGGUUAAAAGAAAGUCCAAUGAAGUGACCUCACCCACCUCAUGAAACUAGAAACAUAUGAAGCAAAAGUCUGUCAUUUUCCUUUGGGGCUUUAAUGCUUUUCUACUCUUACAAGCAAACUGCAACUUUGGUCUAUCACUGAUGAGUGUGAGCUAGUAACUAUUAGUAUGCUCUAUAUAGUAGACGUUACUUUAAUAGAUAGAGAUAGAUGGUUUUGGUUCACAUGUAGUGCGGUAUCAGGACAAGAGCAUUGCUUACAUCAGGGAGACACAGUAAAAAACAAGCUGAGGAGGGUCAAAAAGUACAGAGUUAUGACUAAUGAGUAUGAGGUCCUAUCAUUUGUUUGCUUAGCUUUCUUUCUUUCCUUUUUUUUUUUUUUUUUUCUUUUCCCCAUCUUUCAUUGGUUUUGUUGACGAGAAAGAAAAAGACAGAAUCAUUUUGUACCCAGAGAGAGAUAAGAAAAUCGAGGCAAAAUUCCGGGAGAGGAUCAGAAGCUGUCUGCCUAAAUUACUGAUUUACCCAACUAAGAGGUUCUUGGGGAAAAAAAAAAUGAAAACAGAAAAAUUAUGAAUGCACAUUUUUAAAUUCAGUUAGAGAGAUUUCUAAUUAAAUCGUAAUUAGUAAACCGAUUUAAUUUGUCAAAUUUCUUGUGUUUCGACAAUCUGGUUCAUUUUCUUAAUUCUUGAAUUAAAUCUGAUCACAUCAAUUCACAAUCAGAUUAUUAUUCAACCGAACCAAAUCAAAAUAAUUGAAUCGAAUCAUUUCGAAGAAAAUGCAUAACAUUAAUUAUAGCCAACAAUUUCUAUAAAAAAAAUUAUAAAUUCAUUUAAGUAAUCUUGUGAUUAAUAUUACAUAUUUUACGAAACAUAGUUAAACAUGUGAUGUAAUUUUUUAGUAUUGUAUAAAUGGAGUUGAAAUUUUGAUUUAACUAGACAAUGCCAAGAAACAACGUUGCUAAUUAAUCAUUUAUAUUGGUAAAACUCUAGUUAGAUUACCCAAGAAUAAUGUGGUUCACAUUUGUGCCAUGUGAUUGGCUUCAACGCGUGUUUUGUUAGACCUCAUUUUUACUAGAAAGUUAAGGGCAUAUUAGGAAUAAGAUUUGGGGAUACGGCCGGGCCAUUAACUAAGAAAGGCUUCAAUGGCUUUUCAUAAUGAUCAAAGAAAGCUUGUGGAAAGAGGAGGAUCCGAGGAAGUGUUAAAAAGGAAAGCACUUUUGCUUUGGUGGAUGGCAAUAACAAGCGCAUGAAGAAGUCUAACCUAAUCAAGUGUGUUAACUUUCUCUUCAGUCCACGAGCUUCUUAAUUCCCGAGUCAGCCCAAGCUUUUACUUCAAGGGUCCACUUGCUUGGGCGUCUGGGGCCUGAGAAACUCGUCGAACUAAUGCUUUCACAUGAUUCAACUUCUCUUUAUCUUCUUCACUAUUUAAUUUCAUGUUCCAGCUAGCAAGGAAGAUUAAAGAAAGAAAAAAAAUCCCAGCAGCAGCAAGAUCAGGGUCCCCCUAUAAAGACUAAAAGUGUUGUUUCUUUUCUUUGAAAGAGAAAGAUUUGGACUUAAUCCCAGCGUGACAGCCCCUUCAAAUUCUGUAAUUUGAUAUGCAUUAUGGAGAUAAUAUAUAUGUGUAUAUUCUUCAAUUUUUCCAAAUGCAUUGUGGUAAUGAAACAAGCCACUCUUGAGUCAAAAGAAAACAUAUUGCAUGUUUCAUAAAAGAUAUAUGAAGUGUUGACCAAAUUAUAGAAAAGCGUCAAAACUAAAUAUGAAGCAUAAGUAAAUUUGGUAUCAAGUCAUGUUGAGUGGAUGUUAAUAAAGGGAGAAAAAAAUAAGAAUUAGUGGUAAAGAAUGGGUCAAAAGCUGGUCUUCGCAACAUAUCAUAGCAAUUAAAAAGGCCUAAAUUUGUGGAAGUUGUGAUUGACAAAUGACAAUAGAUCCUUACUUUUUUCAGCAUAUUUAUUUCGUGGGCAUUACCUUGCGGAAUCAUUCUUUUGUGCAUAUGUUUAUGUUUUAUAAGUAUUUAUAAAAACAUAAAUGGUAUGUAGAAUUAUAUAAUUUUUUUUCGCUGUUUAGGUAUUUUAAUGGAUUAAGAUUUUCUCAUGAACUGAACUUGUAUAAAAUUUACUUCAUUCUUUAGUAUAGAUGUCCAUAUUUUAUAAAUAUCUAUAAAAAUAUAAAUCGUAUAUAGAAUUAUAUGAAUUUUUUUCAUUGUGUAUGUAUUUUAACGGUUCAAGGUUUUCUCAUGAACUAAACUUUUAUAAAUAAUUCACUUGAGUAAUUGUUAGUUAAUAAAUAAACAAAUAAAAAUAAUAAAAUCAUAUCCAUAUGCUGAAAGACGUAUGAUAUGUGAUACUUAUAAACUCCGGAGAGCUCAAAUAAGAAAAGAGGGUACUGAUUCAUUUGUAACAGCAAGCUGAAAUCAAACAUAACUGAACUCUCUUGCAAGAUUACCAUAAUAACAUAACAAGGAAACAGAGAUGAUCUCUAGAGGGCUCGGGCUGAGGCAUAAAUAACAUCGGCAGGCCCUAAUGGGCUCAAUUUUUAACUCCUAAUGAGUGGAGCUAUUGGCACCCCUACAUUAUUCUUACAAAACCCCACUUUAAAUAAAAUUACAAUUAAGGACAAUUGAAAAUUAAACACAUAUAAAUUUUUUUCCAUCAAAUUACUUAAUUCAUAAUCAAUCCUUUUCAAAAAAAAAAAAAUCUAUAUGUUACUUCUUAUUUAACUAAAAUAAAUUAUACAAAUUUAAAAUAAUUUAUUGUUCUCUUUUGAUUUCUUAUUGAUUAAAUAUUUUUAUACUUAAAAUUAUAAUUUUAAAUAUGUGUUAUUUUAGCCAAUGAUUAACACUAAAAAACUUAUCACCAUAUAACUUUUUAAUUUAAUUUGUGUGUAGAUUAAUAAUAAAAUUGAAAAUAAUUAAAAAAAUAGUACAAUAAUACUUUGAGUUUCAACAAUAAAACAAAUCAAAUGAAAAUUGAGAAUUUAGAAAAAAUGUAUCUAAAAAAAAGGGUAUUUUCGAAAAUAAAAUGAAUAUAACUAAAAAGGAGGUUUUAUGAGGAGAUGAGAGGGGUGCCAAUCGUUCAACUCACUCCUAAUCCAUAUCAAUUUUAGGGCCCAGAGGAUAUUAAAUCCUGGAAUCAGGCCGAACCUCAAAACAUUAUUUGCAAGCCCAAAUUUGAUGGGAGGCCAAGAUUUAAGUUUUCUUAAUGCUAAUAAUUAUUUUAUAAUAAGCAUUCUGUUGUUGUUAUCAUCUUUUCCAAAACAAAAGAACUAGAAUUAGGUCAACUGAAAUGCGUAUAAUCACCACCAUUAAACUUCGUGACAACGAUAUACUCAAAUAUGCGGUUCAUGGCUUACCAAGAAUUGUCUCUUCUUCCAAGCUUGUAAUUAGCACAAAGAAUCUGCACAACUUUAAUUUGAUUCAUAGACCUUAAGCUUUCCAAUAAGUGAGGUACGUGUAUCAACUUCAGGAAAAAGAACUAAAGCUAGCUAGCUACCCUUUUAUCACUUCUGCAGCUGCAGGUAUAUUUUUACUGCACGAAAUUGUCUGCAAAAAUUUCAAAUAUGCUUUAAGUUUUUCACGUUUAUUAAUUUUUCAUGAAAAUUAUUCAUUCUGCAUCAAACUGACCGAAGAUUAAGUACUUGCAACAGAAGUCACUUUGUUAUUAAUUAUUUUUAAUUAAAUAAAUAAUGAAAUGUUCAACACCUAAUAGUCUACCUACCCUUCAAGCUCAGGCCUCUAUUGAUAGCAGAAAAGUUAAGUUACAUGGAACUGAUAACAGUUGGGACUUGGGACAAUAUUUCCUUUUGCUAGCUCCAAUAUUAUUGACAUCAUCUUUUAGGCAUGCAUCAUCAACAAGGGCUUUUAAUUAUAUAGAAAGCAUAGCCUAGAAGCAGAAAAAAGUACUGCUUUUAAUUCUACCCCCAAGGAACGUUGGGGCAAAAGCAAAAGAUCAUCAAUUUAAUUACUAUGAUCACAAUAAAUUCUGUCAUAAGAGGGAAUCUUAUACAUAUGUUUCUGUUGGGAAUGUCAAUGCAUCCCAAAGCAAAGCAAAUUUUUUUUUCUGUUUUUUAACAAAACCAACGUCAAUGUAUGCAAUCAAAAAGAACCAAAAUUAGAAUUACCCUAUAUAUAGGUGCUUUGGUUUUGAUCUUUUGUACUUUUCAAGUUACAGAUUCAGAUCUGAUAGCUAGCUAGCUCAUACAAAACCUUCAAGCAGUGAUCACAGAGAAAUUAAAAAGUCAAUACUGGAACAAGAUUCAUCGUUGAAACGUAUAUAAGAAAAGAAAGGAGCUUAGUUCUUCAUAUAUAGCACAUGAAGAUACAUGAUGAUGAUAGCAUAAUAUUGUUAAUUCAUUUUGUAUAUUUGAUGAUCUCAGUUUUGCUGUUUAGCUUUCUUGAUCUUGUUACCAAGAUCCGCACGGAGAGCCGGAGGAAACAAGGCUUCAAUUUCGUUCGACAGAUCAUAAAGAAUCCUUCUUUGAGACUGAGACUGCACUUUUCGCUUUGUCAGUAUAGGUCGUGAUUUGGGCUUUCUUGGUGCAGCUGGACAUUGAAGCAACACUGGAAUUUGGUGAUCCAAAGACGUUGGAGUCUUGAACCCACUAUCAAAAUCUUCUUGAUGAUCAAAUCCUUCUUCAAUCUUGAAUUCUCCGAAAGAGGGUAUUUUUAUGUUCAAAGAAGCCACCACAAUCUUGCACUCACCUUCUCCUUCAUCGUGAUGAUCUUCUUUGUUAGCAAUAAUUUCACACGGAUCGUGAUCUUGAAAUUCUAAAGUUGAUCUUGCCAAGAAAUCAAUUUCUAGGGCUUUUAGAUCCAACAUCUCUGAAUUUGACACACCCAUGAUGAGAAAAUUCAACAAAACAAAGUAAGAAACAGCCAAAAAAGGGUCUAAAGCAAGAUAGACUCAGAAUAGAAAACCUAGCAAGCUAGCUAACUUUGAGAGAAAAUCAGAAGAGAAGAUAAAUGGUUGAUAAAUAGCAAGCUAGAUACAGAGGUGGGGGCUGGCUUAUUCCUAAGAGAGAAUCAGAAGAAGCCACAUCACAUAUGCUUCUGUCUUUUUGUUUGAUAUCUCUCAAAGCUUGUUUGGACUCUAGCUCUCAAGAGACACUACCUAGCUCUUGAGUCUCGAUGACAGAGAGAGAAUAUAAGCUUUGAAACCAGGCCACUUCGGCGAAGGAUCCAAUGCAGCAUAUAUACACUUACACACUCUCUGCUAAAUUAAAGAGCCACUCUUUCUAAAAAGUCUCUUUCGCUUAAAUCAGCUGUUUUUAAAAAGCUACCAAAAUCUCGUUAAAUUAGGCAUUAGCCUUUUUUUUUUCCCCUUCUGUUCUGAUUUCUCCAAACUUUGAUGCAACAAAGCACGUGCUUUACUACAGGGAUACCAUCUGAUCGACCGCAUGACAUGCAUGUUAUCUUGCAAAGCACUUCUCGCGAUAAUUUGACAUUUAGUUUCUCGCCAGAAAGGCCUUUUCUGAUGAUCAGAAAGUGUCUUGGCUUAAGUUGGCCGCAAGAACACACAUUGUCUGGUGCAUGCCUUUGUGUGUGGCCCAAUGUCAUAUAAUCUCAUGAUUUGGUGCUUAAUAUGAAUCCAAGACCAAGAGGAAGGAGAGAAGAUCGAUCAUUAAUUAGAUAUAUCAAUGAUAACGAAGGAAUGCAAGUUUUAUAGCAACAUCAUUGCCUUUUUUCACUUCUUAUCCAAUAUGUCUGAUGAGAAAUAUACAUAUAUAAAUCAAAUUUUGAAAUGGGUUUUUAUAUAUCUUCUAAUUUUCAUCUUUCAUGAUCCCGUCAAAUCAUAAACAAAAUUGAUCUCACAUUAUCUUGAAGAUAAUCUACCCUGUCUCUUAACUAAUGGGUAAUGAAAACUCGAUUUUCGAAUGUGAAUUUUGGUUGAGCAUGACAAUACACAGCACUAAAAAAACAUUUUCACGUACGAUUAUGUUUGGUUACGUUAUUAGCAUCCCAGUCUUUAUCUUUAGAAGGAUGCUAUCAUCAUAUUAAUUAAUUAUUGGCCAUUUUGGACUAUAGAGAGCUGUUUUGGCUGCAUUUUAACAGAUUUUUUUCACAUGUUUCCCGCUCAAGGCCGGCAAUUUCAAGUUUUGUGUCCUACGCAACAUUGUCUCUCACGGCAGGCCAUUUUGAAUUCUAGACUUAGGAUUUUUCCCUCUCUUUUAAACGGACUGUGGAGAGUUGGAUUGGAGACGAUAACUAGGUUAAACUUGCUAUGCUAUAUUAUUUAUUAAUUUAUUAGUAAUGUUAGUUUUUUGUGUUUUACAGCAGAAAUUUGCUGAAACUUUAGAAGAUAGAGUGUUAACUGAAAAAAAUGACGGAUUUCGGAUUUUUGAUUGCAUAUGAUAUAAAAAUAAUGGAUGUUUCUUGUUUGCCAAAUUAACAUUGGUAAAGUUUGCCAAUCUUGAUUAAUUAUAGUGCAUAUGAUAUAAAAAAUUGAUGAAUGUAAUUUUUGUUUACCAAAUUAAUAUUGCGGAAGUAUGUUAAUUUUGAUUAUAUAAUUUUCAGUGCCUUGAAAAAUAAUCUCUACAGAGGACAAGUCAAUAAACUCCUAUCGUAUUAUAUCCUGUGUUUAGUAGUACAUUACAAAAACGAUUAUCAAUAUUAUUCGUAAUCAAUAACAUUCCUAUGGUUAUUUUGUAGCUAGUGUAAUUUGACUGUAAUUGACAACAACAAUUUAAAAAAAAAAAAUUGAAGCAAUAAGAACAUUCGAUAGCAUAAAGAAAAUUAUAUAUAAUACGAGGAACAAUUUCUUCAAAAGUUCUAAUUUUGAUCCACAAACUCUAUGUAAAUGAUCCGCAACUAUUUUAUCGUGGAACGGUUUAUGUUCUUCUCAUGAAAUGAUAAUGUGAGGAUAAGAAUGAGUGCAAUUGUCUUCUUGAGCGGAAAGUGAGGGACCCAAAUGGAGAUUGCUUGGAUUUCAUCACAUUAUAUAUUAGACAUUACAUGGGUAUGCAGAUUUAUCAAGGAUCCCACUUUCCUGGCCUCUGUUUUCUCUUUUGUUCCUCAAUCUUUCUUUUAUUUAUAAAUUCACCACAUAGAUUUCACAAAUCUCCCAAACUUUUCCCAUCAUUAAUCAUUUGCCCUUUGUAAAAUAUUAAUGUUAGAAUUAUUUAAUUUAUAAUAGUGUUGUUUUAAAAUUGUAAUCCAAAAAUAAAAUAGACAAAUACAUUUACUAAUUUAUUUGAAGAGAGGAAUGUGAAACAAAAAGUUGAAAAAUAUAUAUCUAAUGAAAGGAUUGAGCUAUGGUGCAACGGGUGCACCAAAUCAUUAUUAUGAUGUUUUCAAUUACUUUUCUUCACGAAAAACAAAAAUAUCAUUUACAUUUUUCACAGUUUUUAAAAAGCAAUGUGAAACAACCUUUGACUUUUCAUUCACUUUGAUCAAUUUUGCAUUUAAAAAGAAAUACCAUAAUUUUUCAUGUUAAUUUUUUCAGAGGGUCUCAUGUGAUAUAACCUUAUAUCAAGUAAAACACAAGAUUAAGAGAUUAUAUAAUAAUUUAUAUAUAAAUAAUUAAAUUAUAAUCAUACACUAUUUUACAUAUACAUUAUUAUCAUAAAAGAGUUCAGUGAGAUCCAAAUUCAUUUUUGUCUACAUCGGUUGCAUUUCACGCAUUACACAAUUAAGUUAAUUGAAUAGGGAAAAUAACUGAAUUCAAAUGAAAAUACGCGAAAUAAUAGGGGGCCAAAAGAACAAAAGCUCUAGCGGUUGAUACGCCUUGAUUAUAAAAAUAGCAGCAAGAAUCUCAGCUAUUGACGAUAUACGAAUUAAUUUAAUUAAGAAAUGAAAACAUUCUGAUUAACAAAGGAAAUAAAAGGGAAAUGAUAACGUGGGGUAUGAUAGUUAAUAAUUAACAAUUAAAUAAAUAAACAAAAGUGAAGAUACACAAACACACACUCUCAUGGCACAUAAUUGCAGCUCAUUCUCAUGCUCAUGCUUAAUGAUUUUGCUUCCCAUUCACGAUCAUCAUGCCCCACCUCCAACAAUCAUCUCUCCCCCAAUUUCAACUCUUUGCUUCCUACUUUCCGUACUGUUUACUCCAUUUUUUUAACUCCUGUUCUUUCCCGCCAUUUUCGUUUCUACAUCUGAAUUGUUCUCAUCAUUUUUAGUAAGGUUCCCAAAGCCUAAAAGGAAAAUAAUAAAAUCAUUUUGUAGCAUAUACCUACACAUCAAAACGAGAAAUGCAUACAAAGCUUAGAGUGCUAAUUUUAAGAGGACAGUUCAGUUGGUUUGACUUCUUAGAGCAUUUCCAAAAGACUCUAUUAAUUUUAGUUUUUAAAUAUCUAUUUGUUUACCUAUGUGGCAAAAAAAAGAGUGAAAAAAUAUGUUAUUCUCCAAAAGACUCUUUAAAUAUAAAUAAGUUAAUAUUACUUUAAUCAAAUAAUUAUUUUUUCAAAGGAAAAAUAAAUGGUAAUUAAAGCACUUCUCUCUUUCUCUCUCUCCCCAAUAAAAAGUAAUAAAAUAUGAAUUGAAGAAGAAGAAAAUAAUUCUACCAAAUUGAAGAGAUGAGUUAUUUCUUAUUUGAAGAAUCUUAAUUGAAAUAUCUUUUGGAACCUUAAAUACUGAUGUGACUCUUCAAAUAAAUAAUAAAAUACUAAUUUGAAAAGUUGUUUAGAGAUGCUCUUACAUUUGUAACUUAAAAGUAACAUUAAUGGUUAUGGACAACCCCCGGCCAUAGUAGUUGAAAACUUCUAAUAAGUUUUCUGCUAUUGAUAAUUACAACCCUAAAAUUUUCACUAUUAACUCCCCCAAUCAUGAUGUUUUAUAUACAAUGCACGAAACAUUAUGAGAGUUAGUAAUGAAAACUUAAGGGUACGUGCAACCAAAAAUUUCGAGUUUUCAAUGGUGGAUGGAAGGUCAUUGUGCCUAAGAGUGACUACAUUGUAGACAUGCCAAGAUAUGUGGAGGGGUAUGGUAAAUUUGAAUGUGCAUACAGUAUCAAAUAGUUUAAAAUGCAUGUGCCGGAUCAGGUUAAAAUUAGAAUGAGUUGAGGGAAGUGCAAGUACGUACGAGCUAAGUAUGUAAUAUCAAUUUUUGCAAGACAAAGCUUAUUUAUUUAUUUUUUUAUUUUGAAUAUCAAUGUUCUUGAUUCGGAGAGAGUGUAGCUACUUGCAGAAGCUCAAGCUUCAGGCUUCACUUCGUUUAGGGAAAGCUUUAGCAUGGGAAGUAUUUGCCUCACAACCCGUUCUCUUCUUCUUUCCAACAUAAACCAUGCAAUUAUGCAAACGUACUUUACAAACGAAAGUGAUUGGGCCUGGCCUCACUUGUAUGGAUUUCGUAUCAAUCACUUGAGCCGCGGGCUCACAGUAAUUUGAAUCUCCGUUUUCUACUGGGCUUCGGCUUUUUAUUUUACAAUCCAUCCACGGGCUGUAUUAAAUACACAACACCAUGAAAUUAAAGGUUGUAGUUAGAACUUCUGUUAGUAUAUCUAUCAACAAAGUCUGCUCUACGUCUGUGAGUAUUCAUUGAUGGAUCCAUAUGUCCAUAAGGCAAAUGCUAUGUUACAAUUAAUGUAACAUACACACUCAACAACAACCACACAAAUUGUGUGGGUCCAUCAUUUGUGUGGUUGUUGUUGAGUGUGUAUGUUACAUUAAUUGUAACAUAGGGGCUCCCCAUACAUAAUGGUUAUACAAUUUGUUAUUGUUUACAAGGGUAGUUUGGUCAACAAAUUUUGAUUAAUGAGUUCUGAAAUAUAAACUUUUUUUUAAUUGUUUCAUUAGGCUCGCUUUGUGUUUUUUUUUUUAAAUCACUUUGAAUAUUUUUUAGACAAACGUUAAUAACAUUUACAAUUAAAAAAGAUCAUAGAUAUAAGUAUCCCUUAAAUUAGUUUUAAUGACACUAUUUAGAUAUAGGUAAUGUUAGGGAUACUAAUAAUUGAGUCUAACUUAAGUCUCAAAUGAUGUGACAUUUAUAUAUUGAAGAAUAAAAUAUUAAUUUUGCCAGUUACCAAGUUUAUUAUUUAAGAGAUAAAUGCUAAAUAACAAUUGAGAUAGAAUCUUUUAUCAAAUAGUGAAUUUCAUAAGUGAUAAAAUUUAAUGUUCAACCCUCCACCACAUCAAUUGAGACUCAAUUAUUGGAAUUAUUAGUAUUAUUCUUUAGAUAUUGGUCUAAACUAAAUUGGAUUUACUUUCAAAUAUUUGGAAAAAAAAAUAACUCUUAACUGAUGGACAUGGGACACUUUAAAGUUUAAAUAAAAAUUCUUAAUCUUAAUAUAAAUAACUCUAUAAUUGAUUAUUGGACAUAUAUCAUAAUAUUUAAUUUUUAAUUUUUUAUCCAUCAAGUAACAAAACGGAAAAAAAAAAGAGAGUAAAAAAAGAACAAAAAAUGGGGGCAAAAUCGUAAUUGCACUUCGCGUUUGACAAAAGCUUCGUGACCAGCUGUAAUUACGGGGAGAACCAGAUCACAGGCACACGCGUCUCGACAAGCUUCAAUAUAGAAUAAAAAAAUAACGAACGGCCAGGAUGUAAUACCGAAAACUGAGUUGUUUUAUAAAGCGAUUUUCAUUUGCGGUAAGUUUCAUUUGGACGUGGUUUCAAUUUCAUUUCUUAAAUUUUGAAUUGAACCCCAGGGCCAAGGGCGGGCUGCUGAGAUCGGAGUAUCCUCUCCCCAAAUUAUCUGUUAAUCUUACCGUAAUUUUUUCAAUUGCUCUGCUCAUUCUUUCUAUUUUAGCUUGGCUGUUUAAUCUGUUUGAUUCUUCAGAAAAUGUGAGAGAAAGGAACAUAAAAUUUCAGAUUCCGGACUCCCUCGUUCAUAUAGCUGCCUGAUACGGAUCUGUUUUUUAAUAAUCAUGAUUUGAUCUGGAUUUUAUGAUUCUUUGUGAUUAAUGUGCUGCCGAUGGAUCUAUAAUGUUCGUGUUUUGUUCUUGUUUGCUUUCUUCAUUGUGGAGCAGGAACUGAUGAUUGAAUUAUAUGAUUAUUUCUUGUUUGAAUCAUUUUACUAUAAUGUGUUAAGCAUCAAAGGAGAGAUUGUACUUUGUUUCGAUUUUUUGCCAUGUCUGGUUUAAGAUUUUUAGUUUCUCCAUGACGUUAAAAAUUUCAAAUCUCGAAAAUUAAAACUUAUGGUUUAAUUACAUUACUUAUCAAUUGUGUUCUGUAUGCAUGAGCAUUGAGAAAUUUUUACAUAAUUUUGUUUUUGUGGGAGUAUGGGAGAGAGUUGGUUUGUCAUCUUUUGAUGUGAACAAUUUUUCUGUUCUAUAUAUAGAGUAAGUUAGAAAUUGUGUAGAUCAAAGACUCAAAUUGCUCAUUGAUUGCUGGAAUUUAUUAUUGAUGUCUAUGUUCCUGCUUUGUUUUGUUUUUGUUAAUUCCUGUUCUAAUUGUGAGUCAUUACUUACUUAUUCCAGCUGGUGAUAGAAGAUGGCAGACGCUGAGGAUAUUCAGCCACUCGUCUGUGACAAUGGAACAGGAAUGGUUAAGGUAACAGUGGGAUGCUUAAUCUUCAAUUUUCUUUCACAUAAUUGUCAUUCUGAGCUCUUUUUGAUUUUAUUUCAUGGUAUCUGAUAUUAUUUCAUUCUGAGCUCUCUGAUAUUUUAUUCAUGAUGCAUUGUCUUUUUUCUCAGGCUGGAUUUGCUGGUGACGAUGCUCCAAGGGCUGUGUUCCCUAGCAUUGUAGGUCGCCCACGCCACACUGGUGUAAUGGUUGGCAUGGGUCAAAAAGAUGCCUAUGUUGGGGAUGAGGCUCAGUCCAAGCGUGGUAUUUUAACACUGAAAUACCCAAUUGAACAUGGUAUCGUGAACAACUGGGAUGACAUGGAGAAGAUCUGGCAUCACACCUUCUACAAUGAACUCCGUGUGGCCCCAGAAGAACACCCCGUAUUGCUCACUGAAGCACCUCUCAACCCGAAGGCCAAUCGUGAGAAGAUGACCCAGAUUAUGUUUGAGACCUUUAAUACUCCUGCUAUGUAUGUGGCCAUCCAGGCGGUUCUCUCCCUUUAUGCCAGUGGUCGUACAACUGGUAAGUGUUUGAUAAUAUGACCAUCAUAUAUAUGCCAUUAGGUUACUCUUAGGUGUCUCUCUGAUUAAAUGACUUGAACUGGUUUCAAAAGUUUCUACAAUUUGUUUGAAGAUAGUGUUAAAGUAAAGAAGAGUUUGGCUAUCAACUGUUUGGGGAUUGAUGGUAAUGUACGGAUGGUGCUGUUGGCAACUGUAUUUCUGGAAAUCAUUCUUAUAGGUUUAGAUAUAGGGUAGCCGUUACAAGUAUUAGUAAAGAGAAAUUUAAAUAUUUUGAGUAGUCUUGGAAGCAUUUCUGUGACUUCAGAACUUGGGUACAUGAAGCUAUAGAGAAUCUGAAGGAAAGAUGGAUCUGUGUAAUUGAUUUCUUCUGCUUCCAGUCAUGUUAUCAAAAGGCAUGAAAAAAUGAAAAAUCAAGUUUGUCUUGUACUAGUGCUUCUUGUUCAAUUCCUCACUAUUCUUUUGUUUUCCUUCCUCAAUUUUGCAGGUAUUGUUUUGGACUCUGGAGACGGUGUUAGCCACACUGUCCCCAUUUAUGAGGGCUAUGCCCUUCCACACGCUAUCCUUCGUCUUGACCUGGCAGGUCGUGACCUUACCGAUGCACUUAUGAAAAUCUUGACUGAGCGUGGCUAUUCCUUCACUACCACCGCUGAACGUGAAAUUGUGAGGGAUAUGAAGGAGAAGCUGGCAUAUAUUGCCCUUGAUUAUGAGCAAGAGCUAGAAACUGCAAAGAUCAGCUCUGCAGUUGAGAAGAGCUAUGAAUUGCCUGAUGGGCAGGUAAUCACCAUUGGUGCUGAGCGUUUCCGCUGUCCUGAAGUCCUUUUCCAGCCAUCCAUGAUUGGAAUGGAAUCUGCAGGCAUUCACGAAACCACAUACAACUCCAUCAUGAAGUGCGAUGUCGAUAUCAGGAAGGAUUUGUAUGGAAAUAUUGUGCUCUCUGGUGGUUCAACAAUGUUCCCUGGCAUUGCUGACAGAAUGAGCAAGGAAAUUACUGCAUUGGCCCCAAGCAGCAUGAAAAUUAAAGUGGUGGCCCCACCUGAGAGAAAGUAUAGUGUCUGGAUUGGAGGCUCCAUCUUAGCAUCUCUCAGCACCUUCCAGCAGGUACGUGUAAUUAUGAUGGUCACAAUAACGGUUGAAAUCGUAGAUUGUGGGAAUGGAAUAUUAUCAUUUCUAAUCUUGUUUAUAAUUUUUGUUCCACUGAAGCCUCUUUGCAGGAUGUAGUUCUUGAUAUAUUGUAUUUCUGUUCUUAUAUUCCUUGUUUAGGAACAACAACAGGCACGACUAUGGCUGAACUGUGGUAUUAUUUUCUAAUAAUCCUAAUGUGAUUUCAUUGUUUAUGUUUUGGUACGCAGAUGUGGAUUGCGAAGGCUGAGUAUGAUGAAUCUGGCCCAUCUAUUGUGCACAGGAAAUGCUUCUAAUUCUGUGUGAUGGGAUAGUGGAAGCAAAGUUAUGUUUUCUGCAAAGUUAUUAUUGUACCUUUGUUUCUUAUGAAUUUCAUGUCAUGUAUUGUUGAAGCAAUUAGCUAAGAGAGCAUUAGAGCAGAUUGCAGCGAGUUUCAAAUUCUUUCAUUCUUAUUUUCUGUUACCGGUUGUUGAACAGCUUUUGUUCAAUACUAAAUUUGAAACGGUCUGCAUUUUGUUAUUAAUCUGGAUUUAUAUGCUUCUACUCGGAAGGAAAAAUUUAUAUUGUUUUAUCUUUAGGGUUCCAAUUAACUUUUCAUUCACUAGCUAAAAAUCUUUACCUUUUGGAUGUUUGAUUUCAUUUUUCUUAUAUGAUUAUUUACCUUAAGCGAUUAUGAGGUGCCUUUGGACAGAGAAUGCAACUCAAAAUUAAGAUUUUCUUUGGGAUUGAAGUGCUUUGUCUUAAGCUUUACCUUAAAAGGUACAGUGUAAAAAAAAAAAAAAUUAUGAAAUAUAAAUUAAUAAUAUGUAGAAAAUAUAAAUUUUAAAUAAUAAUUUUAAUAAAAUUAUUGAAGAUAUAAUAAAUUAUUCAUUAUACAAGUAGAAAAUUAUAUGAAGAUAUCUUUUAGGUUAUAACAAUUAGUGUUUAUUAAAUAUUUUAAUACUUUAAUUUUUAAGUUAUAUUUGUUCAACUUAAUUUUUAAGUUAUAAUUAUCCAACUUUAUUUUCCAACCUUAUUUUCUAAAAGAUAUUUGGAUUAUUCCAAUGCGGGUUGAGGAGCUGGUUGGAAAAACUAUUUCCGUACAUGAUAUAUCAUAACAAAAUAUGUGCCUAGAUGUUAUAACCUCAUUUGGUUGUUUGACUCCACUAAUUUUGGUUUUUACUCCACCAAUUUUGGCGAGGAAAAAGAUGAAGGUGAUCUUUCCAAAAGGCGAUGGGUGAUUUCUUUGUUUAGAUGGCUCUUUCAUUUAAUCAUCUUUCCCCUUUUGUUUUAUAAUUAAAAUGUUAUAUCAUUUCAAUUUCAAACUAGUUUGAAAUUUGGAUGCAACGUCCAAAUUUAAUUGGGAUCUGCGAGUGGUUUGGUUGCUUUAAAAUCUUUUACUAUUAAUUUUUGGGAAAAUUAAAAUUUGGAGGCCAUUUAUAAUUUUUUUAAAGAAGUAUCUCUAAAUUACUUUAAUCAAAACUUUAAAAUUGUGGUUAAAAUCUUGUCGAGCACCUUGAGUGAAGAAAUUUUAAAAUGCAACAAAAGUAUUACUUCAAAUAUAUUAUAGAAUUUUUCUCUCGAAGUGAAUUGCUGAUUUAGCACAUAUUGGGUGCGGCAGAAGAAGGAUAAAGUGUUUUUAAUUAACAUUCAAAUACGAACUUGGAGUGGUCGUUUGAACUUGAUUUAAUGACGAAUAAGAUGAUGUAUUAGUAUUUUUAUCUAAUUGACUAUUAUGUUAUGUGUUACAUGUGUAACAACGAAUCUGCAAAAAAAAACAUGCACGUCAGUAUGUAUAUGGUCUCAGUCUGAGAGACAAAGGAGAUGAAAAGUUGACUAAAAUUAUAGGUGACCCAAAAAGUUUAGCUUGUUCGUUAAUUUCCUUUCAAUUUCCUUUGCUUGUUUUAUUUAACAGCGUCACGAAUUUGAUGAUACACAUGAUAAGCUCGACGACUAUCCAUAAUUCCAUGCAAGACUCUACUGAAUCAAUUAUGUGUGUUAGGUAGUGCCAAAAUUCCUAAUGACAAAGUAAAUACUACCACUGUGGCCUGUGGGCCCCCUUAAUUUGCUAAUCUGCAUCUUCUUGAUUUUUUUUUUUUUUUACACGAGACUAUUGCUCAAAUUACAACUCAUAUUACAUGAAAAUAUAACUGAUAUUUACAAAUCAGACUAUAACUGGGACCAACAUACAUCAAUACUAAUGGAGCGCUGCCCAGAUUUUAACCCUCUCAAAUAUUCGAGGAAUGUCUACUCCUCACACUUGGGUAAGGAAGCAGACUGCCUUAACUCGCAUCUUCUUGACUUAAUUGGUCCAUUAACAACGCGUCAAACAGCACACCAUGUGUACAGUAAUGGACAUAAUUAUGGAUUAAAUAGCAGACAUUUUCACACAGUUAUAUUUGUUUAUAUAAAGAGAGAGAAAGUUAGUGCAUAAAAGUAUGGUUAAAAUAUCAGUAAUCACUCUUCACAUUAGUGGAUUAUGAUUUAUGAUUUUCUUUUUGUUAUUAUUAUUAUACUGGAUGAAAUUAUCAUGUGUAGAUAUUUCUAUUUUUAUAAUUCGGUCUGUAAAAUAAAACUCUUUCUAUAAAAAUUAUUCGAAGAGGAGAAAAAUUAUAAAUAUUUAAAUAAUAAUUAUGGGGUGCUUUUCCAUUGAGAAUUUGAUAAAUUUUUAAAUAAACGUGGAUCUCCAAAUAUAUAAAAGCAUAUGCUUGAGAUUAUUGCGUUUUUACUUUCAAAGCAUACAGUUAAAAGUUAGAACUCAUAAGCCGUAGUCCUAGUGGAAGAAAAAUUAUUAUUAUCAUUAUUAUUAGUACAGAACCCAAAGUCAAGACAAAAGUCAAGCACUCAACGGAAGCUGAGCUUCAUUUUCGUAGAAACUAUAAAAUUAAUGAGGUACCAAGGAAAGAAAAUCUCACUGCUUUUCUUUAUUCGCUGCCCAACUUAACCAUCACAUGUAUGCGUCAAUGUCAUGACUCACCAAUAAUAAUACCCACCUGCGUAACCCGAACCCGAACCCGGACCGGACUCUACCAUUCCUUCAAUGGAGGUUCUAAGACCGCCGCCACAACACAGGCCGACCCACGACCCUGCCCGGUUCAUGAUCGAGCGGAAGGUAGCGGUUCCUUCUCAACUGCCGGAGAUUGUUGAAGAGGAAGGAGGUGGCGAGAAAGUUUACGUUGCCCUGGGGAAGUGUGUAGAGAAAGGCUUGAGCUUGCUUCAUUGGACGCUUCAACGGUUUGGAAGUAGCAGAGAGAUUUGUAUUCUUCAUGUUCAUCAACCUUCUCCUGUUAUUCCCACUCUCUGUAUGUGUUUAUUUUAAUGUUAAGAUAAGAAAAGAAAAGAAAAGAAAAAUAAUUUUUUUUUAGCCAUUAAUGUGUUAAAAAAUUAAACCUUUUAGCUUUUGUUCCGGUUUUUGAGACUUGAACUGUAAAGGGGAUCAGUUAAUGAAGCUGUUUGAGCAUGUAAAUUUUGUAAUUUUAUUUUAUUUUGUAGGAAAUAGUAGCAAGUUUUGAGGAAUAUGAUUUUGAAAUGAUAUUGUGUCUAUGUGUGUUUGUUGUGUUAUGAUUUGCAGUGGGGAAGUUGCCGGCCAGUCAAGCUAGUGCUGAAGUGUUGUCUGCAUUUAGAGCUGAAGAGAGACAGAAAAUGAAGAAGCUUUUAGACAAUUACUUGAGAAUUUGUGUUGAAGCAGAGGUGAUCUUGAGCUUCUCUUUCUCAAUAUCUAUAAGUUGUUUCGAUAAAUAUUGGCUGUUCCACCAUGUUGAUUCCCUGUUUUUUUCUUAAUUAAGGCAUAAAGGAAACAAGUAAUAAGCCCCGUAGAGAUUAAAACCAGUUAAGUUCAAUAUUUUGUUCAUUUGGGUUCGAUCGCGUCUUAGUGCUUUGAUUCAAGUAUAAUGAUACAGACAUCUUUUGGUUGGAUGAGAUGCUCGAUAAUAAUUCUUACUUUAUGAAAAGAAACUUAAAUAUUUGCUAGGAUCACUUUGUUAUUUUGUAGGGAAAUCUAAGGAAUACAGUUAAUUUGUAGGUGAAAGCAAGGAUCAUUACAACUGAAGCUGACAAAAUACAGAAAGCAAUUGUGCAAUUAAUGAACAUACAUGGUAUUCAGAAGCUUGUAAUGGGGGCUUUUCCAGACAAGUAAGUCGUUUAUUGAUCAUCCGAAUCCAACCAUUCUUUAUUCAUUGGUUUAUAAAUGUUCGAAUAUGCCUUUAUUCUGCAAUUUGGUGCUAUUUUGAGACUUCUUUGAUUAUCUCCCGAUUUGGUGUAGAACGUAAUAAGAGCCCUGUAGUCGUAUACCAUGUCUCCUAAGAUGUUUUUUCUUCUUCUUGUUUGUUGUUUUCCAUUUUUCAUCUGGCUCUUAACAUAAUGUCUCGUUACAGUUGCAUGAAGGUGAAAAUGGGCUCUAGAAAAGCAAGCUAUGCUGCAAAAAAUGCUCCCAUGUUCUGCGAGAUAUGGUUUGUUAACAAAGGGAAACAUGUCUGGACAAAAGAAGCUUCUGAAAGCCCCAAUUCUUUUCUACCAUUUUGUGGAGCAGAGACUAGGAGUGCAAAAAUGUUAAGGUCUAGGUCAUUGGAGAAUUGUAAUGGUACUUCAUUGUUUAACCCAGAAAGCAUUCUUUCCAGGUCUGCUACAACUUUAACCCAUGUUGGAAUUACUGACUGGGUUCAAAGUGAUCCAGUUCACAUGGUAUUUCCUUCAUCACCCACUAUAUCUUGUUCAGAUAUGAAUUUAUUUAGUCCAAGAAGUAGUAGCGCUGGCUCAGGAUACAUGUCUGAGAAAAGGGAAUCCACAGAUUCCGAUUCAAAGGUUGAGGAAGACCCUCUAUAUGUUCAGCAUAGAGAAGUAAGCAUUAAAGCUGAAGAAUUAAGGAACAGUGCUUUUGCAGAGUUUUUAAGGCGCAAAAAGUUGGAAUCAGAAGCUAUGGAAGCCAUUGGCAAGGUAUAUCCAUGCUUAAGGAACUUGUACACAUCUUAUUUGUAUUACACUACCAGAUUUUGAGGGCAAACUUAAUGAAGAAUGUGUUUCACCUGAAUUUAUACGUGUUCUAUUCUUGACGUUGUAUUUCUUUAGUAUUAAAGAAUUUGGAGGGAGAAAUUGAGGGAGAGAAGAAAAAGAAAAGGAAGAAAUGAAAGGAGCUAGGGAGUGUCAUCACAUGCAUUAUAUAAUCAUUAACGAGUGAAUAUUUUCCAUUUUUCUUUUCCUAUUACUUCAGGUCAAAGCUUUCGAAUCUGCCUAUGCUCGUGAAAUGCAUCUCCGGAAGGAAGCUGAGGAUGCACUUCAAACUACAAUACAGGACCAAGAAAAGCUCAAGCAAGAGAAAGCUUUCGUAACUCAGGAGCUGCACAGGACCAUGAGAAAUGUUGCUCUCUUAAAUAGUCGUGCACAGGAAGCAAACCGUAGACGUGAUGAAGCAACUGGAGAGUUGAAACUCAUCCAAGCAUCCAUUGCUACUUUGCAGCAGGAGAAGCAAAGAAUAAGAAGGCAGAAAGUGGAAGCAGUGCGCUGGCUAGAGCGGUGGAGAAGUCGUGGGCAAGCUGGAGCUGCAAAUUAUGAUGGGUUCAUUGGGUUGGUAGAAGAUUUGCCUGAGUCAGCUGAGUUUUCAUUGGCAGAUUUGCAAACUGCAACAUGCAAUUUUUCUGAAAGCUUCAAAGUUGGGCAGGGAGGAUUUGGCUGUGUCUACAAGGGAGAAAUGUUGGGUAGAACUGUUGCCAUAAAGAUGCUUUAUUCUCAUAACAUGCAAGGGCAGUUAGAGUUUCAACAAGAGGUUGGCUUCUCUGUCUCUCCCCUUCUCCAAACUCUUUAGUUUCUAUUCUCAGUUAUAGGAAACCUUGAGGAUUUUAAAAUAUGACACUGGUUGUGCAAAGUAGCCUGUUUCUAAAGUGUCUGUGCAGUUGCGCCACAGACCUUGCAUCAAUUGCUAACCCCUUCGGGGUUGGCGAAAGAACCAGCGAGCACUGUGUCACUUGGUGAUAUGGUCCUAUGAAAAGUUUUCUGGUUCAUUAACAAUUAUUUUUGUGCAUAUCCAAAAGAUGCAACAAGAUCAUAAUGUGCCAAUAUUUAUUUGAGUAGAAGAACUAGCCAUCAAAUGUUCCAUUAUGACGUGAUUCCACCCGGGGCAUAAGAUUCUGCAGUAAGAGUUGCAACUCAGAAAAUGCUCUUAUGUAUCCUGCUUUGAUAGGAUUGCCUGGUAACUAAAUGAGAUAAAAAAAUAUGUAUCUAUUUAUAAUUUGUGGUUGCAGGUUCGAGUUCUUAGCAAACUGCAGCACCCUCAUCUAGUGACUCUGCUUGGCGCAUGCCCAGAAGCCUGGUCCCUUGUAUAUGAGUAUUUGCCCAAUGGUAGUCUCCAAGACCGUCUUUUCCGUAAAAGCAACGUUUCUCCCUUGUUAUGGAAGGAUCGAGCUCGGAUUGCAGCUGAAAUAGCUAGCGGCCUUUGCUUUUUGCACUCAUCCAAACCUGAAAAGAUUGUCCAUGGUGAUUUGAAACCACAAAACAUUCUUCUAGACUCUGAACUCAGCAGCAAGAUAUGCGAUUUUGGCAUCUGCCGGCUGGUAACCGAGGACACCCUUUAUUUGCCCAGUUUUCAUCGGAGUACUGCGCCAAAGGGUUCUUUUCCAUAUGCAGAUCCAGAGUACCACAGGACUGGAGUCCUAACUCCCAAGUCCGACAGUUACUCCUUUGGGUUGAUAAUCCUACAGCUACUUACUGGAAGGCUGCCAGUUGGGUUAGCAGGUGAAGUGCGAAGAGCUGUGUCGUGCGGGAAGUUAUCAUCCAUUUUGGAUCCAUUAGCUGGAGAUUGGCCUACGUUUGUUGCAAGGCGUUUAGUGGACCUGGGAUUGCAAUGCUGUGAAUUGUACGGUAGGGAGCGACCCGAUAUCACACCAUCUCUGGUAAAGGAAUUGGAACAGCUGCAUGUUGCAGAGGAACGACCGGUUCCAUCAUUCUUUUUGUGCCCCAUUCUUCAGGUGUGUUAUCACUUGUGUAUAAGUGGGUUAAUAAUACAACAAUUUUAAUUAUCAAGAGCCUUCUUGAUUGGAAUUAGCUAAUUAACCAUUGAGUGGAUAGUAACAGAUUUAGUUUAGCUUUUAAUAAUUUUGUUUACAAUGCCUAGCUUAAAUUAGUUGCAAUCGAGCUCUGCUUCCAUGUUUGGACAUGCUUAGCUUUUGCAACAGUAGGGCUCAACUUUCUUAGCGAAAGUAGUUGUUCUGCUGCCAAGCCUGCCAUAGACAUAAUGACUGUUACCCCAGAAAACUCUAUUAUAUAGCACUUUUUUUCAAAGUAGGAUUUUGGGCUUCUGGGCAGAUAUUUAUUAGUCCUACUUGUGCUUUCUGAGAAUUAAUAUGUCAUGAGAGAUACUUUAGGCGCGAUCUAAACAGACUGUUGAAGCUGGGUUAGCGUCUUUGCUGCUAAUAGUUAAAACUCUGAAUUAUGCUAUACUAUUCUCAUUUUGUUCUUUGAUGAGUAUGAAGAUGCCAUGUCAUGAUCAUGGGGAGCUGUGAUGAAUGUUCAGCUUGUUUGCUUCCUGUGUGCAACUACAACUUAUUAUACCAAUGCAGUUUAUGUAUGGGCUGGUUUGCUUUCAGGAAAUAAUGCAUGACCCUCAGGUGGCAGCAGAUGGAUUCACAUAUGAAGGGAAAGCCAUUCGUGACUGGUUGGAAAAUGGCCGUGAAACUUCUCCUAUGACCAAUUUGAGACUCAGUCACUUGCAUCUAACUCCCAAUCAUGCUUUGCGGCAUGCGAUUCAAGACUGGCUGUGCAAAUCUUGAAUACCCAUGAAUUCAUAUAUGUAUGUAGUUUACAUGUUAUUAGUGUGUAUAGAGUUGCAUUACAAGACAUUCAUGUGUGUCCAUUGUAUAUCAUGCAACUAGUGUGCUUAUUCAGGAAUAGCCUCAUUCUAUACGAAAGAAAAUCAGAAUAUCUGAAGUGCAAUUUGUAAUAGUUUGUUGAUAUUCUAUGGUGAUCUGAAUACGAAGUUACACUCUUAUCAAUAGAAAGACCUCUAGAAGUGCUUAACCAACAUACUUUGUAUGUAAAUACUAAGCAAGCACAACUGGCUGUUGAACUACAUAACACAUGACAGCAGAAAAACCUAACAAGAAAAGCUUCAUUGUUUUUGUAAAUCUGCAGGCAUCAUCGGUGCUUCAUUCAGAUCAGUUGAAUUCAUCAACAACCUUGCAAGAUUCCAUCUCUUGCAGAAAGCAAAGAUGCAUUAGUUUGAUUCUCAGUUUCACUGAAGGGAUGAUCAUCCUCUAUUAAAUUUCCAAUCUGAUUUUCAUCAUUCUUGCUUUCUAUAAGAGGAAUAGAUUCUCCUGUGAUAUGCCAUCCAUGUGACUCUUCCUUGCUAGGAACCAUAUUUUCUUUGAAACUUGUUUGAGUUUUGGGAUUCCGAAGGACCUCUUCAUCAAUGCAACUACCCCAAGAGCUUGAAUUCCCAGCUCUCUUGGCGGGUUCAAAACUUGACUCCUCACUUCUGUGCUGUACUUUCUCAACUUUCUGAAUCAAUCCUCCUUCAUUCUCAAAUGGUAGCUGAUUUUCUUCAUUUUCAAAGUUAGUGAACUGAGAGUUACAUCUAUCAAAUGUUCCCCGGGACGAUUCCCGAAGAAUUCCUUUUGCUGAAGAUCUCUGGCAAAAGCUACCAAACCCUUGAAUCCCUCUUGUCAGCUUUCGAGCUCGGUCUCUUUCUUCCUUCAGAAGAGAUCCCUUUUCAAGUAACUUCAAAAUUCUAUCGGAUUUCUUCCUAACAGCUAAACCCCAGUUGAAUCUGCACAUACAUAGUUUUAUUAAGAUAUGACAUUAAAGCUAGUCAAAUGAAACAUCAGAGAAAUCAACGCAUGCAAACCCUUUCUCAUCAAUUAGCUGAAAGCUUCCCAUCUCUCCAAUGACAUCUUUGUCACUCUGAAAUUCAUUUGACACGCUCUCUGGUCCAUGAGUCAGCAAGUGUUCAAGUACAACCAAUGAGUUGUAAGAGACCCUCCAGUUCUUUCUUUCAAAUUUCGAAAAUCUAAUAACAUCAAUUAACACGCACACAAUGUUAAAAAUAUAAACUCAGAUAAAUGUUGUUUACCUCCUUGAUAAUAAAAGAAAGAAAGAAAAUAUCAAAAAGAAAUCGAAAUGUUAAACAAACCUGUUGUGAAGUAUUGCCACGAUUCGCCAAUAAUCAUCAACCUCAAAAGCAGCCCUUGAUAUUGAUCCCAUGGUCCUUGUGUCCGGCGCCCACGUGUUUCCAUUUGUAGCUUCUUCAGUCAACCUUCAAAACAAUACAAAACCAACACAAAAAUUAUUUCAGAUCAUCCAAGAAACAAAACAGAACUUCCCCAGUAACACAAAAACACAUCAAGUGAUUCAAAUAUUGAAAAGUUAAAAAGAGUCUUUUCAUCCAUAAAACAAACUUACAGUUCUGCAGGUGUGACGUCAGUCAACGCUAAACGAGCAGUUUUGAUCUUCUCCUUGAAGAAAAAGGAAGCUUGCUUCUUGAAUUCAUGAAAAGAAGAAGAACCCGUGUUGCUGUUAUUGUUUUUGCUUAAUGUUGACAUGAUUUAGAAGAGAAAAGUUACAACUUUGGAUCAGCUUUUUCAUAGAAAUGGUAGCCUUGGUAUAGGCAGGAUGCAAAGCGCAACUAAUCCAAUCAAGGCAACAGAAAAAUAAUACUUAAAGUGGGGCUUUGUCUAUGUAAUCAAAAUAUUAUUUUUAUUUUUAAAUGCUACACUAUUUACUGCUAAUUUAAUGGAGAAAAUUUCAAAGUAGCUCUUGUGUGACAGAAACAAUGAAAGAGUCACUAUUCGAGAUUGAAAUUUUCAACUUUCUGAAAAAGAUUCAUUAGUAUUUAAAAAUACAGAAAAGUUUAAUAAAUUAUGGAGGUAAAGUCAACAUCGAAGAAAGUACUGGCUGCUGGGUUUUUUUUCUGAUUUGAAUUUUAAAUUUCUUGAUGCCAAUUAGUAAUAACAAGCUGUGCCAGAUCUUGGGGAUGAGCAGGUUCUUCUGGUGAUUGCCUUCGUUGUUUUUUUGUCACAAAAUAAGAUGUGAUAAAACAGUCAUAAACUAUGUUAUAUUAUAGCAACCUUAGGUUGUUAUUAAUAAUAAUACAAGCAUCAGAAUUUGAAUUGAGGAUUUUAAUUUAGAUGGCCCUUUUUUUUUUUUUUUUUUUUUAUAACACUAUAUAGUUCUUCGAUUUGCUUAUCAAAAGUAAAAUGUGGUAAAGACCUAGGUGUAGGUAAAUUCAGUUUCAAUUAUGUUUUCUCAAAAAAUUAAACCCAGUUUAGUCUAAUAUUUGAAACGGAUUAAUUUUUCUCUUUUUUUUUUUAAUUCAAUUUUUGAAUUUUUUAUUAUUUAACAAUGGGUUUAUAACUUCUAAAUCAAACAUCAAAUUAGACUUUUGUUUAGGAUUGAGGUUGAACAGUAUACAACUUAAAAGUUACAGUAGUAAAGUGUUUGGUAAAUAUUAGUUGUUGUACCUUGUAAGCUAAAUUCAUUUAGUUUUAAACUUGGAUGAUGAAAAAUCUAUUAUAUCUUUAUUAAUUUUUAUUAAAAUUAUUAUUUAAAAAUUCUAUUUUGUACAUAUCAUUAAUUUUUAUUUCAUAAUUACCGUUUUUUUUUUCACAACAGCUGUUAACUUAAAAGUUGUAGCAUCUCAAUAUCAAGCGGGACCUCAAUUGAUAUGAACUUGUUAAGUUAAAAUUAAUAUAAUUUGAAUCAUUUUACCCACCCACACAUAAAAUGUGCUACAUAAAGUAGUAACCUUAGUUUGUUUUCCAGUCGUUGCAACCAAUAAAUUACAUUUUAGAAACCUUGGUAAUUUAUUAUUCUUCAUGUUCAUUUUUCAUCAGCUACAUGUUAUAGUUUUAAUGAGAUUAACAACGUUAAGGGAAUUAAUGUUACAAUAGUAAUGGUAUAUGAUCAGAGUAUGGUAAUUGUUGAAUCUGGUUCGUUAGCUUUGCUUUGAUGAAGAACUAGAUCCUCCCAAGGUUCUCAGCCAAGAUUAAUCAAGAUGCAAUAUCAGCUUAGAUCAGCUUCAGAGAAUCAACUAAACCCAAUAAGACUCGUAACAAAAAAGGAUUAAUAACUGACUCAGAAACCAAAACCAGCAAGAAAACCAAUCACACAAAACAGAGCACAAGCUUUAACGUGGUUCAGCCAUUAAUGGCUUACAUCCACGAGUGAAUUCCUCAGACAGCUUUAUUGAAUGAUUCAAGAAGUUUGUUACAGAGAUUCUAAGAAUAAGAACAAGUAAGACACUUCCUCUCUGAGUUCCCUCAAUCUCUAUUUCACACGAUGACCUCCAAAACCAGAAGGCUGCAGCUUAUAUACCAGUCUUGUAACAGCUCUAACAACCCAGAUUGCACAGCUCCUUGACACGUGUGCUAUGAGUCUGUUAUUUAACAAACUCAGCUUCAGCUAACCAUCACGUGAUGAACCCGUGACUUCACUUAAGUUGAGCAUACCCAAAACGAACUCAUAUGUUGCCGUUUCGGAAUAAGGAUUGGCUGUGCUUCUGACGUGAGCACUUAAAGCUUCUAAACACUACUGGAAACGCUGUCGUUUGCUGGUAAAGGUGUUUGAAUUCACCUUUCAGCCAACAGUAAUAUAUAUGCAUGAUUCAAAAGUCUUUUAUUUUAAGCUUAUAGUUGUAUCGAUUAAAAAAUAAUUUUAAGAUGAUAAUGUAAAUUAUCUUAACAUGAAUAGGACGAGGAGGAAGAAUGGAUUCCCCCGAUGCGCCUCCGGCUCGCCAUUGUACAUAAUAAUAAUAAUAAUAAUAAUAAUUAAAAAAAGAAAUCCACUGAUUUGAAUGAAUAUAAAGAUUAAAUAUCUGAUGAAAAGCGACGUAGAAGCUAAAAUAUUCAAAGCACGACAUUCAUCUUUUGAAUUCUUUAAGGCUUCUUUGGCUGUACGAAGUUGAACGUGUCCACACAUCGCUGCCUUCAUCUCCUAACACGUGUCUCUCCUUCAAAUCAGAUAGCCUUCCCCAUCAAAUGCGUGUGGCAGAAGGCAGUGGAAACAAAUUGGGUUUACCUCUGGAAUGAGCUGGGCAGGUAGGUACAACCCAAAUCAAUAAAAUUCUGAGCCCAAGUAAAAUCACUUUUACGGCCCGUAAAAUACACAUGGCAAAUGCCAGGAGAGAAAAGCCGACUGAUUGGAAGUUGACAGUUGAAAUAAAUAAAAUGGUUUCAUUUUGCGAAAUCUUGAUGCAAUACAUACAAUACUUGCAGUUCAAAAGGUAUAGUAAAUUGGACUGCCCAGAAAUUACUGUUGGGCUUCAUAUCAACGAGGCAAAUGCUUGGGGUAGGCUGAUGCUGCAGAGCUUGACCUUGAACGCAAUGCAAUAUUGGUAUGAAGUAAAUGAAAGUUUUUAAUUGCUGACACCAAUCGCUGAUCUCUUCCCAACUGCAUACAAUGCAUUAACUUCUAAAGUAGUUAGCAGUUACAGGGAGUUAUAUCUGCUCAGGCACAGUCAGGGUCUCAUAAGUACUUUGAUCUUGACUCUUGAGGCUCUUGUUUUGCCAUGUGAAGAGACGAAUGGGACCCAAAAGGGGCUAAGAUUUCUUUUGGUAUUGGUCAGUUUUGAGCAUUUUUAAAGAUGGGAAAUCAUUGUGCUUACCACGGUUUUGACUUAUGACGAUCUUGUCUCUUCAGAAGCUUCACUGCGUGCUGUCUUUGAAGCUCAAAUUGGACAUGUUCGUCCGAUUGCAUUUUUAUUUUAGUAUCCAGUUCUGAUUCUCUGCAAACAUGAAAAUAUCAGAGAACGUGUUGCCCAUAAUUGAUAGCAUUCACUCAAAGGUGUUACCUUGCAAGUGACCAAUCAUCCUCAUCAAAUUUCAAAAUAUUCUCAUUAGAAAAAGCGCCAGUUGAAUUGUAUACAAAGAUGCAGAUGCUGAGAUGACUAUUGUUGCCAAUCCCAUAUGGCAGGCUGAGUUGAAAGCAACUCCAAGAAAGCAAUUGUAGAGAUAAAGACGAACAAAACCCUUUUUGCCAAAAGGAAUAUCAUUUUAUUUAUGGGGAAAAAUUACAAUUUUGCUUUGACAGUAUAAUUAAAAAAAAAAAAAAAAAAAACCAGCUCUUACAACUUUACAAAUCCUCACCACCCAGAACAAUUUUUUUUUUUUUCCACAACUAAGUUUCACUCAGGCAUUCAAUGGAAGCUUAAUUGUUUAUGUUAUAAAGGUGGCCAAGGAAAAAGAACUGCAAAAAAGUGAAUUGCCUGCCCGACUUUUUAGUGGCUGCCUCUGUACCUUUUUCUUCUUUAAUCAGUGGGUUUCUCUACUUACACAAAUGAUCUCCAUAUUCUUCCUUCCAAAGAUAUUACUAUGAUGGAAACAUCAUCAUGGUAUCGCCUUCGAUCCCCUUGAGGUAUUUCAAGUAACUCGUGAAAGUCCAUUCCUGCAAUUAACCAAAAAAUAAAUAAAUAUACAAAUAUUUGGUACCAUUAGAUUCUUGUAGGAAUUAGAUUUUAAUAUGCCUAAUGAUUCUGAUCAUAGCGGGUUUUGAUUAAUACCAGCUUUCUUUGCAGCCCGGAAGAGUACUUCCUCAACCAGAUGCUGCGCUGGAUCCCCCUCUGGUUGUAGCUGGAUGAAAAGUUCAACCUCAGAAACAGCUUCCUUGUUCGUGAAGUAUUGAUAGAGCCCGUCAGAGGAUAAUAUCAAAAACCUGUCUUUCGGUCCUAGUUUAUGGUGGUAUAGAGAUGGUAAACAAUUGAUGUAGGGAGCAGUGCCCUUGUAGUCGAUUCUGAACAUCUCUAGAAGUGCAUUAUUCCACUUUGGCUGCAGACAAAGAAGGGAAAUCAGGUGCUAGAACUGACAAUCAUAGCAAAUUAAAAUCAAAGAGUUUUUCCAAGAGCAAAUGUGAAUAUAAUAGUCAGCUGGACUCAAAAUUCUCAUACCAAUCAAUUAUGUCACAGAAGCUCUAAUGUACUCAUAAGUUUAUCUGUGUAAAAGAUAAAAGAAUCUACUUGUUUCUGUGGAUGCCAUUUUGCAUCAGAAACUCUCAUGUUUGGCUACUUCACAGAAACUAAACACAUCAGAUUGGAAGCCUAUAUUUAUAAUGACAAAUAUCACUGCUAUGCUAAUCAACUGGAAAUUUGUGAAGUCUGCAUAUGUGGUGUUACUUAUGUAAAAUGGGAAAUUGCCCACCUAAGUUUCAGGAAAUUGGAGACCGUGAUCUAAAUAUAAUAAUAUUUAUGUUGGUAUGCUUGAAAGAUAUUCCAAAGAUCAGUCAGGACUUAUGCAAACAAUGGAUUCUUUCAGACAACAAAUGCAGCCAAAAGAAACAGCAUAGUUAACUUAAUAUCUAAUAUUUAUGGGGAAAAAAAAAAGAACACCUGUUUGAGAAAGCCAGCACCAAAAGCCCGAGUGACCUUCAAUGAACCUUUAACGCGAUCAUUCAUCACAGCACAAGCAUCAUCCGAGUGUUCAUUUUUUAUCCUUUGAACUUCCUGAAAUUCAAUAAAACACAAACCUUUCAAUCACUAAACAAAAACUCCCAAGAAACUGAACAGUAAGUCAAUGAUAGCCAAACACUUUACCUCUUCCACACUAGUACUAUGAUCCACAGAAAGCUGAAAAGCAUUCAGAUCAGAUAUACAAGGCUGAUCUCCAUCAAAUCCCUCAAGAUCAUGCAAUGUCUCUUCAUUAAUCCUCUCCAAAUCUUGCCUAAAUUUCCCAAGCCAAUAAUCAGGCUCCGCCUUUUGUGCCAAAACCGCUCUACUAUCACCCACAUUCAUAACAUACACAUCCUCCCCUUUCAUUAACAUCACAAGCACACAAGAACCCAUCAAGGCCAGCUCCGGAUUCUCCAUCAACAUCCUAUCGGCUAUAUCCAAAUAAGCCUCCUCUGUUUUCUUCAACGCUUGUGAUAAUGCUUUUAACACAUCCCCAUGAAUCACAUCCUGUGCCUUAUCUUUAUAAUUCUUAUUCAAUUGUUCCUUUAGUUUCCUAUCAAGUUCUAAUCUUUCCCGGUCCCACUCGCACUUCCACUUCCUCUGAUUCUCCUCCCAUUUCUUAGCCGCCCCUCUAUAACUACUUCUGAAUUUCUUGCUUCUGCUUCUCCCCGUAUUAGAAUCAAAUUCAACAUAAUUUGAACAGCUUUCCGCGGUACAAUUCGUUACCGUUUCACUUUCUAAAGUAGAAUUUUUACCCGGAGACGAAGUAGGUGCAUCCAUUGAUAAAGGUUCAAAUUUAUCAUCCCACAAUAACCCUUUAAGUUCUUUAUGAACAGCUGAGUAUAAAUUUGAUAAAAGAAAAUCAGGCGCAUCAGGGCCAUUGAAUCCAUCGUAGAUUCCAACAAAAACCCAACCGUGUUCCUCCGAAACGACGACGUGUACACGAUCUUCGCCAGCUUUACCCUGAGCCCAUUGAAGAUUUUGACUCUCUAAAGAAUCAUCGUCUUCCAAUAAACUACCGUCGCUACUCACUGUCAAGUUGUUGCUGUUGUCGUUUUGGUUCUUAUCCGACGCGAAAACCCAUUCGGGUUCUUUAACCGAAGCCACUCCUUUAAUCGGGGCUACGAUUGAGUUCAAAUUCUGGCCGCGAGAGAUUGUCUUGGAUAUUGCCCUUUGCAGGACCCGAAUCAGCGACGUUUUUCUUGAUCUGGGCCGGAGAAUAAAACUCGAAUGUGAGAAGCUUCGUUGGAACCGGUCAGGGACGGAGCUAUCCUUUUCAAUCGGACCGGAAAACAACCCGCCGCGGUCGAGAGGACCCGAUAAGAACCCUCUCUCAAUUGGACCCGAAAGAAACCCUCUUUCCAACGGACCAGAAUUGUAGUUACCCGGAAAAAUGGGACCGGAGUUGAUCAGAUGCUUGGAAAUCGGCUGAAGAGGAAUCGAAGAGAAGUUGUUGGAGCAAUCAAAAGCGGCUGCUCGAUCGAAGCAGCUGUAAGUGUACGGAUCAACGAAGGCGGUCGAAAGCGGGGUGGAAGUGUUGGCGCUGACCGAGGCUCCGGAGAUAGUGCGGAACGUGGUGGUUUCUUCGGAGUGGACCUUGGAAGAAGAGUGGCGGGCCUGCUCGGGUCGGACGUAACAGAAAGAAUGACCAAGACCUUCGUCCAGCGGCUCGGAUAUUAAAACAGACAUGUCGUUUCGGCGGCGAGCAUGUUCGCCUCCCGUGAAACACACAGAUAGUUUUCCGAUACCGUUGCCCAUACUAAAACUAAAAUUUAACAACCCCCAGAAGAGAAAAACAGAAGAUUUAUAAAUUUAAAAAAAAAAAGAAAACAAAAAACAGAGAGAUUAAGAGAAGCUUUUAAUGGAAUCUAAUAUGAAAGAUUUUGUGGGGAACUUUUGUGAAGGGUGAAACAGAGAGAUGAAGAAGAUGAAGAAGAGGUGGUGAGGUUAAGAAAGAGAGAGAGAGGCGUUGACUUUUGAUCAAUGGGGGCGUGUUGAAAAUAAAAGAAAAUGCUUUUGUUUGAUUAAUUUUAUUUGUUUAUUUAUUUUAAAAAGCGGGGAAAUUCUUUGGUGGCUUUGCUUUUGGUUCUAUUUUUGUGCGUGUGGACUGUGAAUAGCGAGAAGCGUUGACAAUGGCUGGGGGUUUUGAGUAAAACCGGUGGGUUUGGGGAGGAUUUUAGUUUGGAUUAAAAGCAGUCAAGUCGUAACUUCCUCUAUAGAAAUAGGUGAGCACACUUUUUAACUCUGAAAAUUUUUGUCUGGAGAGUAUCAAAAAAGUCAAAACAUCUUUAAAUAAGCCUGGAAGUCCGUGCCACGAUCACCGUUGGAUCGAGCGUAGUGGAUUAGACAAAAAUCAAGGGUUGACUGACACCUGUCAUCUCAUUAUUGCCUCCUUGUGUUCUUUCGUCAACUUGAGGUUUCCCGAGUACUCUUCUCACUCUUCACACUCCCGGCUACAACUUGCCUUGACUUUCGUCGAUACUUCUCAGAAUAUUAUUUAUUAUUACAAUAAUAUUAUCAAUUUGAAAAUUUAACACCCAAUGAUGACAUUUACUUGAAUGAUAAAUUUUUUUAAUUUAUUAAAUUAAUUAACCACCAAUUAAUAGAUAACUAUCAUAUAAAUUAGGAUUAAAUUAUAAUUUAAAUAUUAAAGAUGUCUGACAUUGCUUUUAUUAUUAUUAUUAUUGUCAUCAUUGGCAAGUUGGCAACUCUCACCAAAAUUUUUAUUUUUCUUAUUGUUCUUAUUGGGAAAAAUUUUGGUUUCUUUAUCUAAUAAUCUUAAGUGGGGUGGGGUGGGGCUAAUUAUCAAUUAAAUAUUGUUGUGUGCGUCGGUGUGGGGGGUUUCAGGCAAUUUCUUGACCAGUUAAUGGCAUGAUUAUUAUUCUCAAUUGACUUUGAUACAAGUGCAGAAUAAUGAACAAACAAGGAUCCAUUACCGUUCCAGGAAGGAGGUCUGGUGAAUUUCUAAGGCCAUUUUUUACUUUAUGGAAGAAGUGUGUAUAUUUCUCCAAAUUUUAGUAGAUAGAUAACCUAAAUAGGUAUAGAUGUCACAUAUUAUUCAUUUAAAAGUUAUAAAAUUUUACCAUCUAAUACACAAAUGAUGAAUUAAUAAUUUUAAUCGUACCCUGCCAGAAUAAAAUCAAGAGAUCUUUUGUAUUAAAAUUAUCAUUCUAUCAAUGCACAUAAAAGUUCAGAUAAACAUUAAAAUGUCUGCCAUGUCUUGUGUUUACCUCUAAUUUGGUAAAAAAAAAUCCCAUCAUAUGUAGCAUUCCCCCCCCCCCCCCCCUCUUUUUUUACUUCAAGACUUCGUACAUAUUGAUACAUAUGGGAGAGUUAGGAGAUGCCAUCAUAUUGUCCACACUAUAAUUACAUCAAUUAAAGAUUUGCGUAAUAACUUUAUUAUUAUUAUUAUUUUUAAAGGAACAUUCACCACCAUUCACUAUUUAGGUGCAAAUUGAUAAUUUUUUUAUUUUUAUCUCGAUACGUGGCAAAAUGGGCAUCUGCCACGUUUCAAAUAAAAAGUCAAUGUGGCACAUCAUGAUACAAAGGUAAUUGGUUUUAGGUUGAUGAUUGUUUCCAACACCUUCAAAAGAAAUUAAGUGCGGAUGGAGACUAACCCAUUUCAUGUACAAAUAUAUUUUAACAAUUUGAGAGUCCAACAGAACCUAGGUUCUAACAUUAGUUUAAUAGGAGAAGAAGAAGAUUAAAAAGCUUAAUUAAUUAAUUACAAUUUCCACUUUCAUAAUAAUAUCCCACUUGAGAAUUCAAAGCAAUCAUCAUUUCAAUAUUGCAAGUGGAGUGAGCUUCUUAUCCACCAUCUCCACGAAUUUAUUGACCCCCACCAAUAUUAACUUCUCUUCAUUUUGUCAUCUCGAACAGCUACUCAACAUUGCAUCAUUUUAAUAAUAUAUUUUUCUUUUAGAGUAUAUUUCAAUAAAUUAAAGAUAUUUAUUAUGUUUUAUUUGAAUAAUAGUUGUCUGUCUUAGUAGAAAUAAAAUUAUUAUACAAUUCUUAAAAAAAAAAAGAUUAUUAUAGAGUUUUUAUUUUUAUUUUUUUGGUUGAAAGAUAAUAUAAUUAUAUUAUAGAACCUCUCUCGUGCAAAUAAACACUCAAAGUGAUAUUGACUUUGAAUAAUUUAUUGUUGUAAAAUAAUAAUAACAACUAGAAUUAUAAAAUGUUAUAGAUGAUAACACUGAAAACAUAAUUUACAAAAGACACAGGCGUAUAAAAAAAAGUUUUAAAUUAAGUAAUUAUUAAAUUAUAUAAUAAGUGGGUCAUAAAGGAAAAUAGAAUUUUUUAAAAGAAUUAGUUUACAUUGGCCUCAAGUUGAGGUUGACAAAAUCUAUUAUUUAAUUAAGUUUAUUAACUUAUGGAGUAUUAUUUUAUGAAGGUUCUACUAUAUAUCUAAAAUUUUGUUACUUAAAUAAUUUCCCCUGUUAUAAAAGAUUUUGAUAAGUAUCGGUGCAUAUUAAUGAAGUCUUAUUAUGACAGCUAAACUCUCAUGUAAAAUUGUAAAUAAUUUUUUAAGAGAUAGAGUUAUUUUAACCCACUAAAUUCCUCACAACAUCUUUUUUAAAUUAGAAAUUUUUAGUUUAGAAAUAUAAUUUGGUCAAUUACUUAUUUGACCUUAUUCUUUAUUCAUCGAUCACCUUUCCUUAUCAAUAUUUAUCAUGAUACAUAAAAUGGAUAUUACAUUUAACAAUUAAAAUAAUAAAUUAUAAUUUGACAAUCAUUUUAAUUAAAAAAUAGGUGUUGAAAAAAAUAACCCCAUCCUUCUUUCAGAAGUGUUGUUAUUGAGUACUUUUAUUGAAACAGCCAUCACGCACAAUUGUCAUUAUUAUUAUUUUUAAGAAAAGUACUUUUACACUAAGAAAAUUUACCUCUUUUAAUCACCUUUUUUUUCAUUUUUACCCGUAAUUUUACUAUUACAAUCUCUUAGUAAAUUUUUUAGUGCUUUCCCGAUCAUGAUCUUGUUAAAUAUUAUAUGCAAUGAGAUCCAAACAGCUCAUACCAAAAUUAUUUAUGUAAUGACUAAUGAAGCAUUAGAAAGAAAAAAAAAAUGUUAUUAUAUUUUGAACAAUCAACCAUCUUCGUCCCGAAGAAAGACUAUGGGCCAACUACGUUGACUCAAAAAGUUGGAGGAAAAAGAAUUAAUCUUGUUUUAGAUACUUUAAUUAAUCUUUGAUUUGAUUUGAUAGUACUUAUAUAAAUUAUAUGCAAGUGAUGGAAGGUAUGUAAUUGACUUGUUUCAAUUUCACCUCUGGCCAACACCUCGAUGUUGUCAUCUUUUCUGCGUAUUUUAGUGGGUUUUUCUUUGGCUUUGCUGGCACCAUACAUAUGCAGGUUUUGUUGAAUCGUUAAUGCUUUCCAAUUCAGCUAAAACCUUUCUUUGUGGCUUUUGGUAAAAUAAUUUUUUUCUUUAAUUAAAAAAAAAAAACAGUGAAGUGAAUAGCAAUUUAACAGUUUGAUCCUGAAGAAAACGAUAAACGAACCCGUAAAAGGAAUACACCCAUUGAUAAAAAUUAUGAAACAAAGCUCUCUUUUGUGACUUUAAACAAACGCUAGGAUGUGAUUUGCUCGUAGAAACAUAAGGAAAUUCAGAGACUACCCUAAAUUAUUUAAGCAAAUUUAACCAAACUACAAAAAGAAUGUUGAAUUUGUACAAGACAAAGGAAGCUUAAUUUGCAAAAAAGAAGAUGAAGGGGGGCGUGGGGAAAUUGUAAUUUGCAAAUAAAGAUAUUUCAAAGAAGAGAAUGUAAUGCUAGCCAUUGUGCGAGCACAAUCCAGAUAGAUUUUGACUUGAGAAAGGAAUUUUGAGGCACCUUGGUCAUUGUCAUUAGGCACCACCACCAAAUUCCACUUGCAAAUAGUAACCAUUCUUGCAUUUUAUCAUCACUGUUUCAAUGCCAUUCAUUCCCCUUUUUUUUGGCCCUGUUUCAUGUGCUGCCAAAUUUGACAAAAGAGAUCAAUAAUGUGAUCUUAUAAACUUCCCAUCUUGUUCCUCUCAUGUCUUCCCUAUCUCUUAAGAUACACUCAUACACAUACACUUUCACAUGUAGGACACUUGCCUAUUUUACUAUAUAUAUAUAUAUAAUUCUUAUAUUCAUUUUGGAUUGAAUUGAUAGUGCUUUUUGACAUGAACGAAAGCAUUACCGAACGUCAAAAAGUGUUUUCUCUUUCUAAGAUGUGAUUUGAAAUAUUUUUAACGGGAUCCGAUUACUAUAUAUAAACAAAUUGUACAUAAAUAAUUUUUUAAAUAAAUAUGUUUCAAGUAUCUAGUUUGAUUACUAUAUAAAAAAUAUAAAAAUAUCGUGUUUCUCCUGAUUUCAUGUGAAUUGAUCACUCGAGUCGUCAAUUUGUUCACACACACAUAGAAUUGAUCACUCGGGUCUUCAAUUUGUUCACACACACACACACAUAUUUUCCAAUCAAAGAUUUUAAAGUGCAGAAAAUUCCAGAAAAUUUUAAAAUUAUACAAUUUUAAAGUUAAAUUUUAUAAUGCUAUUAAACUCCACAGUUUAUAUAUAUAUGUAUGUAUGUAUGCAUGUACACACACACACAAUCAUUAUUUAAUAAAGGAUCUCUUAUAUUAUUAAAGUAGAGGCACAUUCUAAUACGAUAUAUUUUAUCAUAUAAUAUAUUAGAGUAUGUAUUUUUCUUAUCUUUUAACAUUUAACAUGUAAUGUAUUAGUUUGCCUAUUAUGUAAUAUAUAAACAAACACUCAAAUUUGUUUACAUAUAUAUAUAUAUAUAUAUAUAUAUAUAUAUAUAUAUAUAUAUAUAAUAAUUAUCUAACCAUUAGAUUCUUAUUUUAAAAAAGUGAGAAUGCCACUAAUAGAUAAAAAAACACAUAUUUCAGUAUAUUAACAAACAAAAAAUAAUCUACAAUAAAUUAAAAUAAAUGUAUUCAAAUAUGUAUUAUUUAUAUAUAUAUAUAUAUAUAUAUUCAUAAUAUCUUCAUUAGAGAAAAACUAUAUAUAUAUAUAUAAUUUUCUGAAUACAUCGAAAUCAAAUUGGUAAACCCAUCUCAUCUUUUUAUAUGCAUGCAUGCACCGCACCAUAUAGAAACAGAACUGGCUUCUAGACCAUCUCAGAACCAAAUCAAAUAAGAAAUAAUAAUAAUUGAUCAUAUUAAUUUGUCAACUUUGAACACGUCAACAUUCUCAACAUUAGAAACCGAAUUGCAUGGUCAAAUUUUUUAUUUGGUUUUCAGGUUUUGAAUUAAGCAAUACUUUAUUGGGUAAUUGGGUUUCCCAAAUAAGGAGACAAAAUUCUUCAAAAAUAUGGACGAAAUUUCUGUUUGGGAACAAAACAAUUUCUACUUCCGUAAUUCAAUAGCAACUCAUUCACGGCACAUCAUCUUAUGUCCACAUUCAACUGACUUUCUGUUACUUGUAAUCAAAUUUCAAACCCACGGCUUUGACCACAGAUAAUAUUAUACUUAAAAUUGUCAAAGACAAAUUUAUUAAUUAUAUCACCAAGCAGCCCCCAGUUGAAAUUUGUUUGUAAAAAGCCAUGUGAAAAGAAUUAAUAUCUAAUCAAAUUGUUGAACUCUGACAUUGACAAUGAACAAAUGUUGAGGGCCCAAAAGAAAACUAAAGGGCUGGAAAAGGCCCGCACGUCAUUCUUAUGACGUUGGUUAAACAGCCCGAGUUGAACAAACGGGCUUUCCGUUCACAUGAGUAUUUUCAGCAGGAAGUUGCUGAAGAACAAAAGGGACCCAAGAUCAGUCAUAGGGGGAAUCGGUUUUAAGAUUUUAUUAAAAAUCAAAAUUACAGCGGAGUUUAUGGGUUUCUUGGAGGAGAUGCCUGUAGGAUCGGGCUAGAGAAUAGGUAGUAACAAGUUCAAAUAAAAUAAAUAAACCAUAUGCGUCCAUCUACCUUACAACAGUUUGUAUUUUAUAUUAUAUAAGUCGUUACAGAAUUUUCAUUUUAGCGACAAAAUCCUUCAUUAUACUUCCUAACUUGUUUAUUAUGCUUUUCAAGUUUGCAUUAUGCACAAGGAUGCAAUCGAAGAAUUCAGUCAUAGAAGAGCCAGUUCAAAACAUACUGAUAUCAACUAUGGAUAUGAUGUUUGAAAAGCUCCAAAUUAUACGGGAGAAAAGUGCAAAUUUUCAAAACAUUUACAAGGGUUAGAUUUGAUAUUACACAUAUCAAAGUAGGGUUUAACUUUGUAAAUAAUGAAUAAUUUGUGACUUAUUUUUACUUUUUUUUUUUGAGGUAUAAUGUAAGUAGAGCUGGCAAAACGGGUCAUCGGAUUGUGUUCGUGUCGUGUCAAAUUUAGGUCGACUCAAACCCGACCCAUUUAAUAAUCGUGUCAAAAUAUUGAGACUCAAACCCGACACGGAAAAAUAAUUGGGUUACCCAAUAACCCGCUUAAUAUCUAUAUAUUAAACAAAAGUUACAUAAAAUAUUUACACUUUGUCAUACAUAUGUAUGCACAUACAUACAUACAUACAUACAUACAUCCAUACAUACAUACAUACAUAAUUUAUCAAUAUUAAAAAAUAUACAUAUCUACUAAAAUAUUACACACUAUUGAGGUUUUAAUUAUAUAUAUGUAAAUAAUAUUAUAUAUCAAUAUUAUAAAAUAUAUAUGUCUACCAAUAUUUUAUACAUUUACAUUAUUAAAGCUCUAAAUGUAUUUAAAAUUUUAUAAAUAAAAUAUUGUGUCUAUAUUCAUCCUUUUAAAGAAUAAAAAAAAAAAUCAUCUCUAAUAUUUGAGUUUUGAUGAUAAGAAUCUGUAAAUUAUUUUAAAAUGAAAAAUAUAAUCGGGUCAUUAAUCGGAUAAAUGGGUCAAGAAUUUGAACCCUAACCCGACACGAAAAAAAAUCGUGUUGAUCCGAACCCGAUCCAUACCUAUUUAUUAGUGUCAUAUUUAUGUCAAAUUAUCAGAUCGUGUCAAAUUUUACCAGCUCUAAAUGUAAGUAUUGCUUUAUUAUCGCAUAAUCAGGCUUUCCCAGUAAACAACAUUUUAGUACGCGAGAAAACGUAUGACAAUUUCAUGCACGGGGACAUGAUCGUUAAAUCCAUCAAAACCAGUAAACAUAAGAUCAGACAGUUCCCACGUAUGCAUGGUGCAAUAUAGGGCAUGGGAACACACACACUGUAGAUUCUCUAUCCAAAAUGUUGACACUGGAUAUGCGGCCUGUACGCUGUCAACAUCAGAGGGCAUAGAAAAGCGUGGAAGCAUCAGGCAACUGUUUUCAGAUCAUAUCAGGACCAUCAAAAAUAUUGUGGGGCCGGGCCAGAAAAGAACAGAACCCACUUGCCUGACCGCGUUCUGUCACCCACUACUACUAAUGCUUUGGCCAACCAACAAUUAACAUCUAGCAAAAUGCCAUUACAAUCCCAGCAGGAUAGAUUCUCUCUGUGUCUAUCUUUUGACCAAAAUACCCCUCAAAUUCUAGAAAAUUCACUCUAAGUACCGAGUCCGUGAUGCGCGCGUGUUUUAUCAGCGUACGGUGUACCUGUUGAUUCCCCAUGCUCCAUUUGUCCAGUUAAAAAUCUCAAAAAUAUUUGUCCGCGUGUAAUUGUCAUAAAAUUAAUUUUUUUAAAAAAUUAAAAAUAACUAGAAUUAAAAGGCUUCAGAAAAAAAGGAGUGUUAGAAGAAUUUGUGGUUCUGGAAAGCUCAGAGUACAGGAUGUUACCGAAAAAUAACGGCAGCUUUAUCACUUUAUGCUAGAAGAAGGCAAGCUAGCUCGUUAUUUUCUUUCCAAUAAAAUCAGCAAAUAACAAAAAUGUGUAAGUAGAUACAAUCCCUUCAUGCUACUCGUACAUACAUUGCAUUAUUAAAUACUCAAAAGCUCCUUUACAAAAUUACAACCCAAGAAAAAAAAAAAAAAGCCACAAAUUGAGCAGAGCAAAAAUGGUGAUUUUGAAUGUAAAGUAUUUAAAUCAUCGACACAAUUAAAUUAACAUCCCCUCUUAAAAAACCCAAAAAUUAAACAAUUCGGCUGCUUUUGUAGCCAAAUUAAAUUCAGCAAUAUAACAAAAAUAAGAACAGAAAAAAAAAAUUGUACCCGAAAAAAAAAAAAAGAUUCAUACCAGUACAUACAACAAUCCUAUACAACACAGAGCAGCUGCAACAACGUAGCUCCUCCACUGCAACUGCAAUCCAUCAGCGUUUGAUUUCAUAUCUUCGCGAAAGCCAGGUGGCGACGUCAAAUGCGAAGAGGGCCCACCGAGUCCCGGUGAAUUCUCAGGCGACGGUGAUACACCCGGCGGCCGAGCAUUGCCUAUCUGCUGAUUCCCCGGCUUCGUCGUCACCGCCGGGUCCUUCCCAAAAAUCUCCCUUGGCAGUAACACUUUUGAUACCCCAAAAAUCGCCAACGGAUUCUGAUCAAAAACUGUUUGCGUUACCGAUGCUUGAACGAGCCCAGUAUCGAUAGCCACUGAACCAUUAACUCUCGAAAUGUUUAACGUAAACCGACCGGCUCCCAUGUCUUCGGUCGCCAAUGUCGGCUGAACCGGGUUCACUAUCGACUCGAGCGAACCGAGCGGAUAAUAAGAAUGCAAAACAUGGAAUUUCAAAACGACAGCUUUUUUAUCAGCUGGCAGAGACUGCAGCUUCACGUUAUUGGGCAGAUCUGCGAAUGCGAGAUCGGUGGGAACGAAUAGAGUAAUCCCGGCGCCGCCUUCAUCGGCCUCGAAUUCCUCGACGACACCGGAGGCUGCCAGCAUCGACGCCGCGACGUUGAAGUUGUGGCCGUCGAUCAGGGCCUUUGUGAUGUUGAGUCCCAACGGCGGCCUGGUCUCGGAAGCCAUGAGAUCGAAGCCGUAGGGGACCAAGAGAGAGUUGAUCGAGAGAAUUGUGAUGUUGUAAGGCAGGGUUUUGAUUAGGGUCAACACGGUGGCGUUUGAGGCGGAGUAAGGAGCGGGGGAGUGGAUGGCGAUUGCGUUGGUGGCGGGGUUGCGGCUGAUGUUGACGGAGCCGAAGUUUGACGACGCGCGGCCGGUGGUUUGGAAGAGCGUGGUGACUAGAAUGCCGGAGGAGGGGAUCUUGCGGAGGUCUGCCCAGGACAAGUACUGUAACAGGACGUGGUAGCGGAGGAGGUCGGCGAGGGAGGAGGGAGAGAGGCGGCGCGUGAAGUCCAGCGAGGAGGGUGAGUUGAGGUAGGAGUUCGGUACGGCGAGGAAGGUGAUGGAGGAGCGGUGGGAGAGGUCGGUGGCGACGGCUGAGGACGUGGAGGAGAUGAGGGCGGAGAAUGCGGAGAGGUCCGGGUACGGUAAAAGUAGGUCGGUGAUGUUGAGGGCGAGAAUGGGUGGGGUGGUGAUGAGGAGUAAAUAGGUUAUAAUUGUAGGGGUAAAAUAGGAAAUGCGGAGUUUAAAGUCCAUUGCGUGUCUCUCUCUCCGUCUCUCUACUAGAAUUUGCAGAGAGUGAAGUGAGUGGAGUGGAGUUCGCAAGGGAAGGGAGAGUGAAAAGAAGGGAUUGAGCGAGAGCGUGAUGAUGGAGGAUGAUAAAAAAUGAUUAUGGUGAUGGCGAUGUUGAUGCAUUGAAUUUGUUUAAUUGUUAUUUUCAUUGCGGAUCUUUGCCCACUCGCGAUGGAGGUGCGAGUGAGGACACUCGCUUGCCAGACAGAGACAGGGAUAUGCGUUCAUACCUAUCUUAGACAAGUUUUUGCUAUCCAAAUGUAAUAAAUAGCAAGGCGUUAGGCGUGAGUCGAAAUUAGUAAUUAUAUAUAUAUAUAUUAGGGGUAUGGUUUUUUUUUUUUUAUUUGUUAUUAGGGGUAUGAUUUGGAGAUUGAUUCUGAGCAAUUUUAUAAAAGAAGGAAUCUGAUUAUGGACAGGAUUUGCUAUUUACGGCAUUAUCACAUGGACGAAUGGAUCAAUAUUCUUAUUUCUAAUUCAUUAUGGAUAAAACUAUUGAAUGUGACGGUAAUGAUUACUUUUUCCAAAACUUCGAUCUAUGAGAAUGGCAAACCAAUAAUAAAGAUUAACGGUAAACUCUAAUAACAUCAAAUUUAUUAUCAAUUAUCUACUUACCAUAUUAUAACAUUUUCUCUCAUGUGUGUGUAGAGUUUUAAAAACAAGACACACAAACUCUUAUCUAAAAUUGCAUAUCAACUGCACGUCAAGUCGUUUUCUUUCACAAAAGUAAUCUCAUCAUGGUAUUAUUAUUUUUUUUUGAUAGACCUAUCUAUCUCAUCAUGGUAUUAAUUCCUCAUAAAACAAAAUUUGCUAAUAAAAAAAUUAUUCUAUGCAUUAAUUAUUGAUUUAAGUGAUAAACCUAUUUAUAAAAGAGUAAUACUAGGUAUCUCAAUUAGAGAUGACAAAAAUUCCCACGAUAACAAAAUUUUUCGGGGAUUUUUUACCUAACUUCUUAUUCAGGGAAGAAACGGGGAUGAAAUGGAAUUACCAUCUCUCUCCAUUUUUUCAGUUUAAUUUUAAAUUUAUUUUUUAAAAUUAUUUGUGAAUAAAUAAUAAAAUUAAAAUUUUAGAUUAUUAAAUAUUAGUAUAAAUAACAAAUAUCAAAAUAUUUAUAUUAUUAAACUUUUGAGCCUAGUUGACUAGUUGUAUUUUUAAAUUUCUAUUUAGGACAUUAAAAAAGCCGGAUAUGAUACUAUUGGCCCAAAAUUUUUUAAUUAUAAUAUUCCUUAAAUAUUUUAAACUUUUAUAUUAUAAAACAAAAAUUAAAGCAAAAUCAUUAAACAUAAUUUCUAAUUUUCAACAGUAGCAAGCAAUCACCUCGCUUCUACUUUUAUUUAAAUUUUUUAUUUUAAUAUAAUUAAAUUAAAAUAAAAAACUAAAAACGUGUCAAUUAUUUAAGAAUUAUGAACUUUCGGAAAUCUCAUGUUAUUAUUCGGGGAGGGGACAUAGAUUCCCUCAAGACAUUUUGACAGGGACGGAGUAGAAAUGGGGACAUAUGUAGAAUAUUGAGAAUGAAUACAGAGAUAUCGGUCCCCUCUCCUCUCCUCCCCAUUGCCAUCCUUAAUCUUAAUAUUCAAAUCUGAACUUAAGUUUCAACUAUGUGACAUUAAUCUAUUAAAUGGUCGUUAACUAAUUUUAUAAUAUAUGAAAUCUAAUAUUUAUUUAUAUGAGUGACACGUAAUAUUGAAAUUUAACUUGAAACUAAAAUAUUGGGAUCUCUAAUAUUAUUAUUUAUAAAAUAAAACAAACUUUUAAGGUUACAUUGUCAAUAUCUCUCCAAUAAAAAUUAAAAAAGUUUAAUAUUAUAUAUUUAUAUUCAUAUACAGUACAAUGUUUACAAGAGACUUUCGCGCAAAUAAAUUUGUAGGAUAGAAAUUUCAUGCUGGGGAGGGUAAUAUAGUAAUAAUAAGGCUGCAAGUGACAGAGGACCGUGUGUACGUAAACGGUUGGACGGCGGCUACGACAAAAAUCAGCGUCAACAAGUGGAGCAGGCCGGGGAGGCUCUCCCCGGCCUUUUUUCAAAUUAAAAUAAUUUAUAAAAAAAAAAUAAAAAAAACAAGGAUCAGCAGCGUCAUGAAACUUUUCCGCGGACGUAAAAAAAGCUUUGGCGAUGACUGAUAUGACGCACUGUUAUUUGGCUUUCUGUGUCAAGCAUCUACAUGGUCCCACUCCUGGCACUGACCCCUCUUUCUUUUCUUUUUUUCUUCAAAGCUUUGAACUGUUUUCACACCUCAUUGCUCGUUACAAAGCAUACGUUAAAAAGAUUAACGACUUAAUUAAGGAAAAUGAAUGUGGAGAAAAACGAACAAAGUAAACGCGUUUUUUUUUUUUUUUUUUAAUAUUAGUUACAUAUCAUAUUAUUAUAUUAUAUAAAUAUUUAUAAUUAUUAUUAUUAUAGUAAACAUUAUACUAAUAUUUAGUAAACAUUACAUUAAAAUAUUCUAAAGUACAUGUCCAAACAAAUAACCAUUAUAGACGAAUGAUAUUUUUGUUCCACUCAUAUUUUAGAAGAAAAAAAAAAUUUAAAAUAUUUUUCACUUCCACAAUAUUUUUGUAGAAGCUUGAACCGCUACCCUCAUGCUUGCUAGGACAGCAGCUUGACCGAGCAGUAAACACGUUUUUAUAUAUUCCAAAGAGAAAAUAACAUACGGUGACGCAUCAAUUUUACGUUAUCAUAAAUAAUGAUAUAGUUUGUGUAUAUUAACAAAUAGGUCCCUUGCAUGACCUGUUGAAGUAACCUAAUCAACCUUAUGAAUUUUGAACCGAAGGGAUCGACACUCAACAGAGAUAUAUAGAAAUGGAUGGGGGGUCAAGGUCCUAUCUUAUACAAAUGGAAAAACUACAUACCUGUAUCUUUAUUUACGGGAAUGUAAAAAGCAUAGAUCACGAUGUUAUUAAUUACUUAAUUUUUGUCUAAAGUCAAAAACAUAGGUGUCACUUUUGUAGCCAUUUGAUAGAAAAAGAAAAGAAAAAGAAAGUUUAAUGCAGAAGUACUGUACAGACCAUAAGUCCCAACAGCAGACAGAAUUAAAGAAAAGGUUAAGGUAAAGAAGUGGAAUAUCCAAAUCUUUUUUCUUCAUUUUUGUGUGAAAGAAAAGGUAAAAGAGUGAUGCUGUCUAACCCUGUAAACGGUGAAGUUCUGUUGCUUUAAGUUGGUGUAUAAAUUACUAUAUCGUUUCUUCAUACGGUAACUAGAAAAGCAUUUUUUUAAAUAACAAGUAGCACGCAUUUGGAUCUUGCAACAGAAAGUUGAAAAACAACACAUAUCUGGUUCUGGUGACGCUUAUAUAACGCCAAACUUGUUUCAUAUCUUUGCCUGCCGCAUUGUACUUAUGCAAAAGUUGCCAGAAACUCUAGCUUUUGGGGUUGUGGGUACUUUGUUGGAGAACCAAAAUUUAAAUUUUGCUUGAAGAUGUUGAUUUUACGGGGGAAAGAGAAUGAAUUGAAUUCUUAUUGAAUCGAGCAGAGCUGGGCACCAAAUGUUUUAGUCCAAUUACAUCACAAUGUGAAAUCAGAAAUUGAGCCGAAGCAAGUUUCGAGAUUAGCCCAACCCACGUUUCUGUCAGCAUCCCCCAUAUAUGCUGAUAACACCCCUUUUAUUGAGUAACACAAUAAAUCAAGACACGUGAGAGAGUCAUGUAUGCGGCGACAUUCAGUUUAGAACGCAAGUUUUGUUUUAUAAAUGUGUAACACCAUUUAUAUUGUACCGUGAAAGAGAAUGUUAUCUAAUGGCGCUACUACCAACGAUUAAUGUGAGUUUUUGGUUGAAUAAGGCGUACCACAUGCUUUUUAAGCUCGUCGAGCAGAAUCUUACUGUAAAAAAUUGUUGGCUUCGGGUGUGUGUUUUCAACUUUCAAGAUGAUUUCAUAUACUUAAUUUGAUUGGUCUCAUGAAGUGAUCACGAAACACAUGUAAAACAUUGAUAUGGUGCGUUCUAGUUAACCUAGUAUAUUUUCAACUUUAUACAAGGAAAAUAUUGUCAACAUUUCAACUAUGUGAGGUCAUUUUUAUAUCAACUCAAAAAAAAAAAAAAAUCUUGGAAGUUUUCAAAUUGAGGUCAAGUUUGGGACAGUAUAUAACAUUGGCCUGCCAAAAUUGACCUUCUUUUGAUAAGCUCUAGAAACCCAUAGAUUAAGACAAUUAAUCAAAAAUAUAUUUCAAAUUUCCUUUUGUAAAUCAAACUUUUUUCUCCAACCCAUACCAUUUACUAAGAAACAACAAUAGAUUAUUGCGUAACCAUAACUUGAUUGUUUGGCUGGUCCAUAAAUAUUAAGUAGCCGGUUCUUUACUUUUAAUGGAGGAUAAUUGUCACAUUCCAAAUUUUAAUUAUCUCCCUUAAUAAUGAAUAUUAUUGAUGAUGAUGACGGUCUUAUGCUACAAGUGUUACAAGUUUGACUGUAUCCUAUCAUACAUUGAGUGACAAGAAAGGGUUCAAAGUUCUAUCAUAUAGUAUUAUAAUGCAACAAUGAUGGCUUAAAUUUUAAUGACACAAAUAUAGAUAGAGAGUUCUUUGCUACCGACAAUCACUAUAAAUUACAUAAAGAUAGAAAUUUUUAGUAUGGAUGUUCGUAGUACUCUUUAGGUGAAACAUUGUUGAAAAGAAACAUUAUAAAUUAUAAGUCAUUAAUUUUAUAAUAGAAAUUUUAUAAUUUUUUGCACAAAAAGGUGGACGUUUUGGGUUUUUGAAAUAGUGGGAAUGCUGAUAUUUUGAGGAUUUUCAUAGUUACAUAUAUUUUAAAGAACUUUGCAUUUGUAUUUAAGAGAAAUAUUUGGCUUUUGUUGUGAUCGCCAACAAGCUAAGCAAGAUGGGAGAACAAAAGAGUAAAUUUUCAAUCUGAAGGCCGUUUAAGCCAUUUGAAGGGGUAAUUAGGCUUUGAAUUUCUAGAAGUGUGUUUUAUAAUAAUUAAUAUAGCUGACUUAUCUAGAAACAAAUGCCACGAAAACAUUAUGAUUAUUACUUUGGAGAACUAUAUUAAUCUGAUAAUAUUUAGGUUAAGAAAUUUGUAGCGGGCAUAUAUAACAUGCGCUGAAUACAUUUUCGACUAUUUGAAAGAUUAUACAAACUUACAUUUUGGACCCAAAUAUGUAUACUGCAUCAUAACAUAUCAUAUACGUUAAUAGACUUUCAAUACAAUCAACGCUUAACUAAUAACCCCGACACACGUAAAAGAGUAAGAAAAUACGUUGAUCAAAGUAUUUCGAAACUAAUUAAUUUGAAAGGUAAUUAUAAAUAACUUAGUGAGUCAGUUACACUACACAAUAAGAUAAUACCCAAAAUCUUAGAAAUCAUAUAUCUUGGGUUUAAAAUUUAUUGAUUUUAUAUGCAUCAUGCAACAAAAACGUUUCUUUCUUUUAAAGGGUUGAUUUAAGCGAAAGCAAUGACAGAAAAAUUCCAUCAUAAGUUUCAUAACAACAGGAAGGAAGUACAACACUUUUUUUUUUCCCUGUUUUUUUUAAAUGCAGUAAAAUAUACACUGAUAAAAAUGAAAUAUAUAUUUUUUUCCUUCGAGAAACGAAAAUUGAUGUACCUAAAAACGAAGAAAUAUUUGUCAAAUUACGUGGGCUGCUACCCCAAGUUAAAAAUAUAAAAAGUACGAACUGCAUGCGAUCGCAUUUCAGAUCAUCAACUCACAGCAACUUAGCUUUCCGGCUAGGUGAUGAAGUAGUAUCAAAGCUAAAAUCUCGUGUCAAAUUCAUGUGUUCAAUUCAUGGGUUCGGUGCACAUACUUUUUUUUUUUGGGUAUAAUUUGUCAGAGACGAUUGACGUACAGAUUAUUUGUUGAAUGCGGAUCACCCAUUAAUCACUCGUGGAAUAAUACUGGACACUCGAUCGAUAAGCAUCUUGAUUGUUUAUUAAUUCUUUGUCAAUUGCAUGUCUAGAAAGGCAAAUUACUUGAGAGAUUUUAUAUUUGAAAUCCAUCACGUGUUUGACUCCUAAAUCAAGAAAAUCGUCAAAUGACAAAGAUGUACAACUACUAUACAUAAGUGAUCAAUAGAAUAUAUAUACAUGCAGGAUACCGCAUAUGUGUACGUUCUGAUGGGUUGUUGAGCUAGGUCAAGUGCGGUCAGUUAGUUAAACUUCCUCGUCAGUCGUUCAUUUUGAUAUUAUAAGAUUUGGUCAUCUGAUCAAAAUCAAACGUUAUAUGUAAAGCCAAUGCCCAUAAAUUACUUAAUUGACUUGGCUCUGGUAAGCUUGUUAAUUUGGACCAGUCUUGCAGGGAAGCCUCAGCUCAGAGCGUGACCUCCUCUGGCGGGUCAACCAAGCGCGCGCCGAAAAUACUUUUAACGACUUCUCUUCACGGUCGUUUUGGUAAAUAUACCCCCAUUAUAACUGCCAACCUUCUCUUUGCCUCUGUUUUGCUUGUUCAGAGAAUUUUAUAUAGAGCUUCAGCUUCCCAAGUUGUUAAUUGUUGAUUUUCAUCAGGUAGGUUUGAUGCUUUAUGACCUGUUACUUUGCUGCUGUUGUCGUUUAUUUAAUUAAUUGCUACAAGAAACGUUUUGUGGGGUGUUUUAAUUUUGUAUAUGCUGAAGUUAAUGAAGGCGGCUCAGUAAAUUGUUUGAAGUUUCAAAAUAACAUGAAUUUAAUGUUCUGAUAAAUUAUCUUCUCCGCAUAUACUUGUUAUUGAAGGUGUUUUUCUAAUUCUGUCCGCUUAUGUUUUUAUUUUCCUUUUCCUCCUCUUAUUUCUCGGUCAAGGAACCAGCUGGUUUCUAAAGGUGUUUGGUGAAAUGAAACUGGGUGGAAUUAAAAGAGCAUGAUUCUUGCUUCUUCUUCUUCUUCUUCUAGUUUUAUUAUCGGAUUCUCUGUUUUAUCCGCUUUCGUAAACUGUUGGGUUCGUGAAUCAUGAGUUUUGUAGUCACGUUCUUCACCAAAGAUUAAUAAAAUGAACACAAUCAGAUAUCUGCUGGCUCAGUGUAUCCGUUUGGCAACCUGUUUCUGUUUGCUUUGUUUUCUUUCUUCUCUUUCUAAUAUGUUUGAUGUUUAAAGGUUAUUGAAUUCAUAAUCUUCUUGGCUAUCUUACUUGUCAUGAUACUUAGCUCUUGCUGUUGUUGACCUUUUUUUUUUCUUUUUCUUUUUUUAAUUUUAGGAUUCUGAAGAUUCUGGGUUCAGAGGUUGAAAUCUCAGCAAAAUCUUUGUGAUUGAAGUAUGGGAACGCAGUUGCAUCGAGUAAACUCCGGUGUUCAAUUUGAAGACUACCAUCCAGGUUGCCUGUGGGGCAUACUCCAUGUCCUUCACCAUCAUCACAGGAAUAAUGCCAAAAAGAUUGUCCCACAUAAAAAGCACCGUGAAAGAAGACAUGCCAAAUGUAAGCAAUGUCAGUUUGCCUCAUGGAUUUUUGCAUCUAAAGUUGCAGAAACAACGAACUGUAAAAAAGUAUCUUAAUGUUUUAAAUAAGCUUUCUAAACUAUGUAGUCGAAGGUCUAUACUCUGUAGGAGGAAUAUGGAUUCCCUUAUAGAGGCAUUUUUAGUUUUUUGUCCUCCUUAUAAACUGUGUUUUGAAUUUUUUACGGAGUUAAUAAUGCAUAUCAACAAUAUUGUAGGCUGUGGAAAUCCAAAGACAAUUUCUAUGGACCGCGAUAAAUUUGAAGCACAGGGUUUAUUGGAUGCCGAAGCAGAUAAGUUCUUUGUAAGUUCAUGAUCCUAUAAAUUACCUGAGAAUCCAGAAAAUGCAAAUGGUGGUUCAUUAUAUUAUUCAUAACUAAUGUAAUCCCUUUAACAUGAUCAGGUUGAACAGCAUCCUACAAAAGUUAGUCCAACUGACAAAAGCUUAAAGGCAUUAGUCACUGAAGAGAUGUCUGAGGAAGAGAACCACAAACAUUGGCUUUUAGGAUUCUCUGCAGAACCAAAGUUUCAGCGAACAAAUUCAAUCAAUCAUUUAGAGCCCUCAGAUUAUCGCCUUGGUAAAAUAAGCACUGAUUGGGCGAAUCCAAUUAUCAUCCUUCAUAAAAAUGCAAAUAACUCGGCCAGUGAGUUGGAGUUUUCAUCUCUGAAAAAGACAAACAGGAGAUCAGUUCCAAGAAACAAAGAGUUUGAUGUUUGUGAUAAUGCAAAUGUUGAGAGCAGCAGUGGACAGUACCAGCAUUCUGGAAAGCAUGUAGGGAUUAAGACUGAGAAAGUAAUGGGAACCUCAAAAAGUCUGAACCAGAUUGAUGUCGAUCAUCAGGUCAAGGAAUAUGUGGAUGUUCUGGAGAUAUUUAAGGUGAACAAGGAGUUGUUCCUCAAUAUCCUGCAAGAUCCAGACAUUGCAAUUUCAAAACAGAGUCCUGGCCCGCUGAUUUCCAACAGGAAAGCAAAGUUAACCAAAUCAGGAUCAUUUCCAGUAGCUGAUAUUUCUCAAGUCAGAUAUCUUAGGCCAAGUACGCUAGAACAUAAGCGGAAUGAAGCUUGGACCUUCCCCAGAGGAGAAAAGUUUGUACCAAGUAUUCAAGUAUCCAAGCCGGAUGCAGUCAGGUCUCAGGAAGGUUACAAUGAGAAGACAAGGCCUUCCUUCGAUAAUCAGGAUGUGGACAGCACCAUAAAACAUGAAACAAGCACUUCUUCUUCGGGUUCAUCGCGGCUAUCUAAUCAUCAAAAUUGGAAUCAAUUGGUUAUAGGUCGCCUAAGGGGCAUUAAGCAGAGAAUAAAGCAUGCAAUUAAGGUGGGCAAGAAGGAGGAAGGCAAAGCAAACAGAAAUCAGUUCCUCCAAACAGUUCCUACAGCAUCCACGGAUGGAGAAUAUAUGCCCAAAAGUUUUGAGCACAUGAGCAUGAGCCAGGAUGGUUCAGACAACUCCAUAAGUUGCAAUGAGACUGAUGGUUUUGAUCACAAUCUCAGCAACACGGUACUACACCUCAUGAGGAGAACUGCCUCUUUGAAUGAGUCCAUGGAUAAAUAUGCUCGGUUGUUUGAGUCUAGUUCCAGAAGAGAAAUGAAGUUGCCUCACUCUAAGAGCUUGAGAUUGAGGAAUGAAGAUAAUAUUUCAUCAAAAGAUAGUGCUCCAAAGUUCUUCAGAAGGAUUUCCUCUCUUUCUGAUGUGGAGUCAUUUUAUUCCUUAGUAAGAGAGGUGGUUCAUGAUUCAGAGAAGGCAAUCAGGACAGAAGAUGAUUGCAGUGCAAAUGCUGGAAGUCAUUCUCGUAGUGAAACAAAGUCCAGUAGCUUUGUUAUAGAUACAGAUAAAACUCAGCCUCUAGAUGCUGAUGUGGAGACACAAUUUCAAAAGAACAUGGAUGAAGGAAGAUCAGGAGAUGAGGGACUUCGUAAUACAGACGAACCUGCUGAGAAUAUGGUUGAGCCAGAAAACCUUACAAGCUUCUUCCGGGAAGAUCAGGAGAUUGAUAAGGCAGUGAAUCCUACCGUGGACCCUUCACAAUCAAGUCUAGCGUCAGAGCCUGAAAUCGUGGACACUACAAAAUGUCACAUUUCAGAAGGUAACAAUAUACACCUCUUAGUCUGUUACAGUUUGCAUUUCUUUUAUUGACUAGUUUGAAUAUUAUUUCCGUUAAUAACAUGAAUUGUCAGAGAAUAUUUCUGCAUAUCAAUUGCUUGAAGCUUGAAAAUAAUUACCUCAUGCCACAUUCAUUUUGCUAAAUUCUAGCAGGAUCAGAGUCAAAUCCUCUGUUUAUUCAUAUCGAUGAGGCAGAUUCUUCUAAUGUCAUGAAAAAUGAGUCCAUAGAAGAUUCUUUGCCAAGCUUGUGCAGCGAAGUGAACAAUGAGAGCGACAGUCGCUUCCUUCCUUUUGAAUUGGGCAAUGAUGAAGCUUCCUUUAAUUAUGUAAAAGAUGUUCUUCAUCUGUCUGGCUUUACUGGAAACGAGUCUCUUGGCAACUGGUACUCGCUGGACCAGCCAUUGGAUCCUUUAUUGUUCAAGGAAAUGGAGAGAGACUUGCACCAUCAAGUAAAUUACCCUGAAGUGUUGAGUGGCAUCUGCGAUCACCAGCUUCUAUUUGAUCUAAUCAAUGAACUCCUACUCGAGAUGAGCGAGACAUCCUUCACCUACUUCCCAAGAGCCUUCUCUUUCAAUCACCGCAUGCGUCCAAUGCCUAAAGGACACCGUCUUAUUGAGGAAGUUUGGUCAAGAAUUUGCUGGUACUUGAGCUUCCAAUCGGAGGCGGACCGUUCACUUGAUGACAUUGUGGCUCAAGAUUUGACAAAGGGUGAUGGUUGGAUGAAUCAUGAGUUUGAAACAGAAUGUGUAGCACUUGAACUGGAAGAUUUGAUCUUUGAUGAACUUUUACAGGAAGUUUGCUCGUGAGGUAGCCUAGGCCACGUUAAUAUUGCCGUCUCAACUCUCAAGGUUUUCUUUCCUGUUUUAAACCAGCCUUGUACAUAAAAUUUUUGUUUCAGUUCGAUAGUAGGUUGUAUUUUGUAUACUCCCAUUUUCCACAAAAAAGUUGUUUCAGUCUUACUUCAGUAAACAUUAGUCUGGUGUUGUCUUUUGUGACAACCUAGAAUAUGAUUCUUGUGUAAUAACUAAUAAAUGAGAGUUGUGAUAUAGUCAUAAAGUUGUGAUAUUCAAUUUAUAUUUUUUGUUAUACAAGUUAAAGAUUUUGGUCAUUUAUCGCAUGAGCGAUAAUGUAUGGAUAUUAAGUAUUUUUAUUGUUUUACAUGUUUUAUCAAUUAACCACUAAUUAUUCACAUAAAUUAUGAUCAGAAGAAGCCCAAAUUAAGAGAGAAUUUUAAUAUAAGAGAAUCCAUUGAUACAAUUUACCUAGGAAUACAAACACUUAUACAUUUUUUUUUUUGAUAAAUUAAUGUGCCAAUACAUGGCUCACUUUAUUAAUUACAUUGGAUUCAUCGAUCAAUACUAUACCAACACAUUAUAAUGUAAAGAUUUUGUAUCACUAUCAUUAGUGUUUUAAGAUUGCUAUGCUAGGCAAUGUGCAUGUAGCUUCGAAAUUCAGCACAACAUUAUUUGAUAAAUAAACAAAACAACUACAAACAAGCGAUAUAAUAACAUUCGAGUCGUUGUUUCAAAUGGUCCAAUUCAAUGGUAGUCCGUAAGACUGGCCCAAUUCAAUUAUGUUUUGGGGAGAAAUGAAAAAUUUAUAAACCCCCCUAAAACCAUUGUGUUUUGCCGCUUUGCGUCAGACGGCAAUGCCUGAACAGCGCAGUAAAUGGUGAUUCUGACGUCGAAAGAAAAGCCGGAUUCCUAAAAUUUAACGGUAUUCUACGAUCGUCUUGUUUGCUUUCAUGUGUGUGUGUUUUUUUUUUUUUUGGGAGGAGGGGACGUAUUGCGUUUGAAUAUUUCAGUCGGACUAUCCAAGUCAAAACCUGCAGCAGCUUCCAAUCUCCUAAUUUCCAUUUUCUGUUUCUUCUUUCUAUAAACAAUGAACUGGGUAUUCUUCAUUUACUCAUUCAUGUUUGCUUUAUGAGAGGUUGGACAUAGGAUUUGAGUUUGUCAAAUACAGUUCAAAUGCUUGAUGAAAUGCCUCACCGAAAUUAAUGUUUUAAUUUUUCCUUCUUUUUUUUGUUUUAGGUCACAAGCAUUUUAAAGACGCUGAUCGAACAGUAAGUUUGAGUUUGUAACGUUCAGCGGUUUGUAAAAUUUACAAUUUGGGAGGCGAUAACUGAUUUAACUGGGAGACAAAUGUGGAUGCAACGCGCAAAAUCCGUUUGGCACCUGGAAUUCUUUCACAGAUCUUCAAAAUCACCAUGGAUUUUUGAGUCAGUUUGUUCUUACUCUGAUGAUUCUCUGAAGAAGACGAAAGCUACUCCUUUGCAGGUUCCUCCCCCCCCCCCCCCCCCCCCCCCGGGGGGGUCCAUUUUAAAAAAACAUGCUCAUUCAUAUUUUUUCUGAGCAUUUUGUUUACCUUUUUUUUGUUGAAAUAUUUGGGAUGUUUCUGCAGGAAACUAGAAUGAGAGAUAGGUUUACGAUAUAUGCCAAAGGAGGCGAUGGUGGCAGUGGUUGUUGUAGCCUUCGCCGUAGCCGGCAUCUUCGCCGUGGCAAACCUGAUGGUGGGUCACAUAUGAUAGCUUUAUGGAAAUAAUCAUCCUUCUAUUAAGCAUUGAGUUAUGUUAAUUUCUUUUAAUUGUUGUUUAUAGUAGCAUUACUCUUGUCUUCUUUGACUGCUUUGUUUCUGCCUUCACUCUCUGUGCAUGUCAAGAUAGGCGAUCAUUGAUAAUCUGGUAAUUUUUGUGAGUUAGAAAUGAUUUGUUUGGUGAAAUGGUGUUUAAGGUAGUGCUAACUAAUGUAGGUGGGAAUGGUGGAAGAGGUGGUGAUGUGAUUCUUGAGUGUUCUCCUUCAGUUUGGGACUUCCGCAGUUUGCAACAUCACCUUGUAUGUUACUCUCAUCUUUUUGUCAUCGUGAACAAUAAAUUAGCUUGCCAGUCUAGCAUUGAAGUGAUUGAUAGUUAUGCUGUGCUGCAGAGAGCUGGGAAGGGGGGGCAUGGAGCUCCAAAGAAUAUGAUAGGAACAUGCGGGGAAGACAAGGUUCUGUUUGGCUGCUCUCUUUACCUGCAGGCUGCAGAUGGUGUAAUAGCUUUUAUUAUUAGGCCAUUUAAUUAAAAUUCAUUGAAUGAUUGUUUAUCUGGUAGGUUGUCCUGGUGCCAGUUGGGACUGUUAUUCAUCUUAUAGAGGGUGAAAUUCCAUCUAUGGUUGACAAUCGUUCAGAAUCAGAUUUGGAUCCAUGGGAACGACCAGGCUCACUUGUUGAUGAUCCUUCACUAUCUAAUCAACAGACUACCAUUCAGAACCCAAGUGUUCCAGAGGAAGUCAAAUCUACAUGUAAGAAUGAUAGUUCAUCUUCUCAUACUGAAAUUACAUCGAAGGCAUCAACAAACCUGCAGCAUGCCACUCAAGCUGAGCAGGAAGGCGAAAAACAAAUACAAUAUAACAUUGCAGAAUUAACCAAACAAGGUCAGCGAGUCAUAAUUGCUUAUGGGGGGGAGGGUGGUUUGGGCAAUGUGUGUUGCCCAAGUGUUUCAAAAAAGCCUAUGGUUAUGAAGUCCAAGUCCUACAAGAAUGGUCCUUCUGAUCCUAAAUUAGUCAGUGAUGAUCAAUCCUCCCUUGUUGCUGGUGAGCCUGGUUCAGAGUCGGAACUUAUACUUGAACUUAAGAGCAUUGCUGAUGUGGGCCUUGUGGGGAUGCCUAGUGCUGGUAAAAGUACUCUUCUAGGGGCCAUAUCAAGGGCUAAGCCUGCAGUAGGCCACUAUUCCUUUACAACUCUUAGGCCGAAUUUAGGGAACAUGAACUUUGAUGACAUACAAAUUACAGUUGCUGACAUUCCAGGACUCAUAAAGGGUGCCCAUGAAAAUCGUGGGCUUGGACAUGCUUUUCUACGGCACAUAGAACGCACAAAAGUUCUAGCCUAUGUAGUAGACUUAGCUUCUGGUUUGGACGGUAGAAAGGGUAUAAAACCGUGGGAACAGCUUAGAGAUUUAAUUAUAGAGCUGGAGCACCAUCAGGAAGGUUUAUCUGAUCGGCCAUCCUUAGUUGUAGCGAAUAAAAUUGAUGAAGACGGGGCUGAAGAAGUGUAUGAAGAACUGGAAAGAAGAGUGCAAGGUGUUCCUAUCUAUCCAGUGUGCGCUGUCUUAGAGGAAGGAGUGCCCGAGCUGAAAGUUGGUCUUAGAAUGCUUGUGAAUGGUGAAAAAUCUGAAAGACUUAGUUUAGAUAAAAUUCAUGUGGAUUAGGCUUUGGCACCCACUUUCAUAGCAAAAGAGAAACAAUGAAUUACUUAAAUAAAUAAAUAAAUUAUAUUUCUUUUCUUUUCUGUAGUAUUUAGUGCUUGGCAAUGGCAUGGAGUUGAACGUCAUCUGGGUUGUUUCUGUUUCGAAUGGCAUUGGAGUUGCUUUCGGGCUCGACUCGAUUUGUAAAUUCAGAGUCAUUUUCCAGAUGUAACUGCUGAUGCUUUUGUUCAUAUUCUAUUGUUUCUUUCAGAUAGUGGUCCGUGAAAGUUGUAGUUUCUGGUGUGCUGUCUGCUGGUUUUUCUCACUCGAAGCGUUACGUGUCUUGCAACUAGAAGAAGUUGCCCUCGUUAAAGAUAUUUUCCUGCCUGUGAAUUGUGAGUCUUAAAAACAAGAAUAUCCGAAGGGGUCUCUUCCAAAAAGAAAAAGAAAAAGAAAAAAUAUAAAACGUCAAACUAUGUUAACAAUUGUUUUAAUGCAGGCAGCAGAACCGAUAAUGUAGUGCUGCUGGCAGCCAGCUAAAGUGCUGAACUUCGGAAAUUUGAUUGAUCCUUUAACUGUGUCUUUUUUUCUCACCACUAGCUAAAGUUGGAAGUAAUGUUAAUGUUCAUUAUUGUACUCUGACCAAUGAGAAUGUGACAACUUCAUGGAGCCCAGGCCUGGCCACAAGCACCAAUGCUCAGCUGAGGUCCACUUGACAUAUGAAAGUUAAAGCUUCACCGAUGGUGGGUUCUUCCGGUUCCAUUGCUACCCUCUAAAUAAUUGAACUCGGCCACUUAUCAGUUCCGCAAGAAAAGGACCUUUUUGUUUAAGUUCGGUCAAUUCAAAUUUCAAGGUAGAGUUAUUGUUCAAAUCCUGUUACUACUCCCCAUCAACUGCAAUAAUUAAGAAGAGUGCUAAUCUACAUGCGAAGUUGUUUAAGCACAACGGUUUCACUUUUAAAAUUUUUUUAGUUUUUUUGUUACACUUAUAAUUUUUUCAUUGUUGAUACCCAGGCCUUAUAAUAGCAUUGUUAUACAUAAUAUGCCAAUAAGUUAGAGAAAAAGUAGUUUAAAAUACGAACAUAAGACUGGGAAUCCGGCUACCUUGCGACGUAAUUUAAUCCUAAAACAGGACAUCGACACACAGAACCUUCACAUAUGAUAAUUUACACAUAAUCAAGGAUUAAUUUAUAAUAUAAUUUUGUUCUUGUUCCAGAAGAAAAAAGUUGUUGCUAGCGAACAUAAAAGAGAAAGGGUGAGUGAAUAAAUUUGAAGAGGGAAUAACAGGUUGAAAAGAAAAGCAAAUGCCACAAACAGGGGAUACAAUCAAUUUGAGGCCCACAAGCAAAUGCCACAAACAGGGGAUCCCAUCAUCUUCAUCAUGACCGCAUAUGCACUAUGGAGUUGACAAUGGAAUCGUCGCUUUCUUAUUGCCCUCAAAGAAAAAGCUCAAGACAAUAACCAAAACAAAAAGUGUUUGAUAAAUUGCUGCGAAAAAUGGAAAAUGGGUGUGCAGCGAAAGCUUAGUGCACCUUACUGAUCACUCAAACCUCUCUUUUCGCAGCAAAAGGGCAGCUGAGGAAUUUCAUUGUUGAUCGAUUCACAAAACAAUCUAAUUCUUUGCGAAGUAAUAAUCUCCUGAGAAACUAUGUUAAAAGAAAAUGGGCAUUCUUUCUCCUUUAUAUAUUAAGCCUUGGCGUAUAAGCCUGGGCUGGGGUGGUAAAGAAUGGAUCAUACUUCAGCAGAGGGCGAGCGUGUAAACAUCAAGUUACAUAAUCAUCUCGCAGCAUCAAAGCAGAAUUGAGGCAUUCACGCAAGCAAAUUAUAGAGAAUGAAAAAUUUUUAAAACGACGAUUCUAGCAUUUUCUCGUGGUUUCCAUGAAAUGAAAGACUAAAAAUACAAAGAUUUAGGAAGUCAAAUGCAUUAGGCUCACUCAAAAGAAUAGAAGGUUAUAGAAGAAAAAUAUAAACCACAUAAAUGCGUAACUUUUAGCAUAUUAAAAUCUCAUUGAAAAAUGGUGAUAACUUCUAAGAACUUACAAAUCUUAUUGCCUCGAAGAAUCAGUCAAAUGCUAGCCAUUUUGAUGAUUGCAUUUAUUUAUGAAAAAGAGAAAGAUGCACGCUCCAUGCCUCUUCUUUUUUUUUUUUACUUUGAUGUGCAAGUAUACAAUAGAAAAUCUGUUGAUGUAACCGAAAAUUUUAUUAGGGCUAUAAUUUAAUUCUUAAAAAUAUUGAAAGAAAAUCUGUUUUAUUCAGAUUAGAAGGAGAGAUGAAUACCCUACUCAAUUUCAAAAUAACAGAAAACCCAACCCAUUGCCUCAAAGUUUUUGAGAGCUUCAUGCAUUCUUUUUGUGAGGCUGUUUGCCGACCCGAAAAAAGAUGAUUAUUGUUAAAUUUCCAGGGGCCCUACAAGAUUAUUUCGAUAUUCCCAAUUUUGAUGGUUAAGGCCUGAGAUUUUGACAGGCAAAAUGAAAUGACUUUAUUAUAGCCUCCGUAAGUUGGCCUGCUUUUAUGAUUGCUCUAUUGUUUAACUUAAAGAAAAUCAAACAUUUGACGUCUCCGUCCUCCUUUUCUUUGGCUUUUGCGACUUUUGUCUAGUGGGUAACUUGAAUGUCUUUUACCUUUUUCAAGUAUUCAUAUAUCUCCUCAAAAAAAAAAAAAAAAAGUAUUCAUGUAUCUCAUUAUGGGUUAGCUUUGUUACAUUUCGAUAUUAUUUAGUGGACUUUUCGAUGUAGGAUAUGUAUUGUGGGACCGACAUUUAAUAAAAUUAUGUAAAUUUGGAUAUAGUAAGUGGGGGGUGGGAGGUUGUCAAUUUUCUCUAUACUUAAAUAAGUAUAUAUCAUUUAUUUUUAUGCAGUUUUUAUAAUAGUUAAAGACACCAAAGAUUUCAUAGGAAAAGAAAGGUAAAUAGGUUAUUCAUUCGUUAAUUUAUCUUAGAAAUAUAAAAUAUAUAUUUAUUAUAAAAUAUAUGUAUAAAGAAAAUAUUAUAUUAUUAUUUUUUAUUAAGUCCAAAAUAUAUAUUGUAUUAUUUCUAAUACUUAAAAUUUUAUUUGAAUUUGAAUUAUUAUGAUUUAUUUAAUUUACAAUAAAUAUAAUUAAAAGAGAAUUUAAAAAUAAGAUAUCCUUUUUUUAGGAAAAAAAAUGUCUAUCUCUCUUUUUUUUUAAAAAAAAAAACUAUCUUUAUAUUUUUCAAUCUCCCCCUCCUUCACGAGAACUCAAAUCUCUCAACGUGUUAUGUGAAAGAUGAAACCGAGCUUUCAUGAGGGGUAAGUAUAACCACACAAAACCUCAAUAAUAAAAUCACAUGUUUAUAUUUAUAAUAUUAUAUAAAAAAAUCAAUUAAAAAAUAUCAGUGCUACGUUACGUUAAUUGUAACAUAUAUUAUAUACAAUAAUAAUAACAAAUUCCAUCAUAAGUAUUAUUACUGCGUGUGAAUAUACGUUACAUUGUGAAUGUACGUUACAUCAACGCAGGGGGCUCCAUUAAAAAAACCUCUUUGUCAGAGACAGGCACAGGGACACAGGAACGGGAGCGGAGCGGACUUCUCAAUUAUCAUCCCACCGAAUAAUCCCCAGAACAGUGCGUUUAUUUGUUUAUUUAAUUAAUUGACGACAGAAAUGAGGGGCCAGAAUAAAUUUUAUUAUUAUUUUAAAAUGUCAAAAUAUUACGUGGACGUGGGCAAAACGACAUCUAAUACUCUCCCGUGCGGCAUCAAAGACGCAAUCGCUUUAAGAUCCAUCCACGUGUACGGUGGAGAUCCACAACUUCAUUCACCAUCCGCACUAUAAAUACUGGUCAAGGUCCCCGCAGUAUCACCCAUCCCAGUAAUCUGAUUUCGAUCUAUUUGUCUGCAAAUCUUCCCAUUUGUUAUAUCACCAAAGGAAAACGAAAAAUGUCUGGCUGUGGUGGAAACUGUGGCUGUGGUUCUAGCUGCAAGUGCGGCGGCGGCUGCGGCGGGUACGUUACGCUUUCCAUUCUUCCAAUCCCUUUUAUUUAAUUAAAUUCAUCCCACAAACUGUAGUCUUUUUUUUUUUUUAAUUCGUUUUUUGGACAUGCAGUAGCUCCAUGUACCCUGACUUGAGAUCCUUUGAGAGCACCACCGUAGCCACCGAGACCCUCGUCCUCGGUGUUGCUCCUGUCAAGAUGUACGUAAAUGUGCAGUCGUUACAGAACUGUGUUUUAAAUUAUUGAUUUUUAUUUAACAGAUUUAAAUCAAUCUGACGUUACAUUAGCCUGCAUGGAAAAGGAAUCCAAACGGUGUCAUUAUUUGUGUUUUUAUAUAAAUUCAGGGA
rnacentral:lncRNA from 1 species